AGAAACCUAAACCUAGCUUGGUAUACAAGCUAAUUCCAAUUCCCUAAUCCGAAUAGCCUGAGAAUAUUGCAUUCCUAACGUACAAUAUUAAACAACAUAGACAUAUACCUCCAAAAAGAAAGAAACAUUGAGGUUGCUUUCCUCUCCCUUUUUCCUCUUGCCCCUCUUUAAGUCAAAGAUUAGAGGGUGCUAAAUUCCGCAAGAGACAAAGUGCAUGAAAAUCAAUUGAUGGAAUAUUUAUAUAUCCCCAUGCAAUGCUAUCUACAUGCAUGCACCCUUCUCCAACCACACAAUUACUACAAAUUCUUUGUGCUUUCUCUUAUGAAAAUUGAUGAGAUGGUACCAUGUGUAUAGAGAAAUGAGAUGAUAUUACAAUGCUUUUUUACUCAAUUGAUCCCGAAGAGAAAUAGACAGCUAUAAUAAUAAGUUUUUUGUUUAGAUAGUUCCCCUCUUUAAAUUUGAUUGAGAAUGUGUUCAUCCUUAGUACCUAACACCAAUAUUGCCCUUACUUGACGUGCUUCUAACUUCACUCAAAUUAAAAUUAAUAGAACUAAAACUUUGGAUUACCUUCUGAAAUGCUUAAAAUCUGAAUUGAUUGUUUUACCAAUGAAUUCUCUACUUUAAGUCGUAAUUGAAACUACAAAAAUUUGAAAACACCUUGUUUUCACAGCAUAAAUAUUUUAACCUUCUUUUUUAUGAAGAAAAAAAUUAUAUAGAAAUCAAAAGAGAAAACUUUCUUGCAGAAAUAUGUUUUUUCGACUUUGCUUAAAGUGAGUGAAAGAGAGAGGUUUUUUUUUUUUUAAUGAUUAUAUAGUGACAAAAAUGAAGUUUUAACUCCGACAAAGACAUUCAAAGAAUCUUAUGUAUUCAACCGUAUAGGAAAUUAUAAUAUUAAUAAAUUAAACAAUUUAAUUAAAUUUUUAGAGCUUUGCUUUUGUUUUGAGUCAUUGUAACUCUACGUUAUAUCACUUUAGUCUUCAGAUUUGUUGUGAUGAUACAAAUAUAUAUAUAUAUAUAUUGACUAAUAGAAAUCUAAAUAUUUAAAAAAAAAAAAAAAAAACCCCUUUGCUUUAUUCAUAGGAAAGGUAAAAUAAGUAUUUCAAAUUGGACGAAAAAUUAUCUUCGCUCUAUUUUUUGAUAAAAUAUAAAUUCAAAUUCCAACCGCUCUUUCGAAAUGAAUGCUUCAUCUAAGGUGAGUUGAGGACAGUAGGGUAUUGUAUAGAUGUUGAAUUUGACAUGGUAGUAAACUCGUAUUCUGGGUGAUGCUCAUUAGAUAUAAAACUUUCUUCCUCCAUUGAUCCUUAUGUGACACGUAAUUAUUAGUAUAUGCUCCAAUGCGAAAUUAGAUAUCAAAAAUCAUUAUGGUCUCUAUCUUCAAUGGCAUGCCACGUAAUCAAAUCUUCCAUGCAUAUUCAAUUCUCUGAAGAAUGAUCCUUCUUUUUUCUCCAUUUUUUUUUUUGUAUUUCCGGUCAUUUUUCAAUUUCGUUCUUGUCAGCCUUUAGUUAUAAAAAAAAAAAAAAGUUUUGAUUUUUUAUUUUUUAUUUUAUUUUCUUUUAAUUUUUUUAAAGUUUGGCAGGUUGGUCAUGUGAUAUACAUUUGAUUAAUUAUGCUCACAAUUGAGUUAUUUGGUACAAUUUUUAAUUUUAUUGUGCAUAUCACAGUCGACCCCAACUUACUACAAUAAUUGGGUUGUGUUGACCCAACUCGACCUUUUGACAUUUAGGAUCACGAGCCAAAAUGGGUGACCCAGCCCAUUGGAUUGGACACCUCUAUAGGUAGGUUCAAGUAAAAGGUCCAAGUCUAGUAUAAAAUCCAUUUUUUUACUAAAUUAUUUUAAUAUACCGAUUAAGUAAUUUAAAAUUUAAUUAUAUUUUAUUUUAUUUAAAAUUUACCUACUCACUACUCACUUCCUUUGAUUGUAAAUUAAUCACACACCUUCACACACAACUUCUCCUUUUAACUCUUUUCAUUUCCCUCACCUGCCUCUGGCCCAUUGCCUUCUCAUCCUCAACCAAAAAUACAGAGAUUUUCAUGGGAGCACCCACCAACUGUAUUAUUCUUCUUCAGAUGCCAGUGACUAGAUUCAUUUUCCCAGAUGGCACCCUCUGAAUGGCAGAAGCAUCUAUUUACUGGUGGCCCCAAAACCAAUGACACUCUUCAGAUUUUUAAUUGCCCAUAUCUCAAUGGUUGUCAUCCACCACCACCACCACCACCACCUUCCUCCAAUCAUAUCCAAAGACUGCCCUACCUCAAGUCAUUGUUAUAGCUUUCCUCCAAAAAAAACCCCGAACUUCCCAAUACACAAUACACAAACAAAAGGGAAAGCUCCAGCUUUGAUUGUGCUAAGCUGGCACCAGCUUCAUCAUCAUAUGCCCUCCUCUCCUUUAUCCCUUGUGUCUAUCCUCCUUUCCUAAGUCCUAUGUAUAUAUAUAGCCUCUCUUUCUCCCCUUGAAGCUCACCAUCCACUCAUUCACCAAUACUACAUUGCACACACACACUCUCCAUCUUUCUUUUUGUGUGUGAAACAUGGGGUUUUCUUCAUAUGAGUAUUCAGUUUUGGUGUUGGUUUUGGCAAUGAUGGUGGCUACUGCCUCUGCUAGUAACUUCUAUCAAGACUUUGACAUAACAUGGGGCGAUCAUCGCGCUAAGAUGUUCAAUGGAGGGCAGCUUCUCUCUCUGUCCCUCGACAAGGUCUCUGGCUCUGGCUUCCAGUCCAAGCGAGAGUAUCUAUUUGGGAGGAUUGAUAUGCAACUCAAGCUUGUUGCUGGCAACUCUGCUGGCACUGUCACUGCCUACUAUGUAUGUUUGAUAACUCCUAAAGCUUAAACUGUUUUUUCCUGCCUAAAAUUUACUUUAAGGGUGGUGAGGGUGUUGCAUAUAUAUCAUCUUUAUGAGUAUGCAUUGGGUAUGAAGUUUUUUUGCCAACCUUCAUGUAGGACUAACAAUCAGCUGCUGUUGUUUGUGUUGCAGUUGUCGUCUCAGGGACCGACACACGAUGAGAUCGACUUCGAGUUCUUAGGAAACCUUAGUGGGGAUCCAUAUAUCCUGCAUACUAAUAUGUUCACUCAAGGGAAAGGGAACAGGGAGCAACAGUUCUAUCUCUGGUUCGACCCCACUAGAAAUUUCCACACCUAUUCUGUCAUCUGGAACCCCCAGCAGAUCAUGUAAGAGAGCACACUCAACUAACCAUCCUCAAUAUAUAAGCUUUAGAAUGAAAAACAAGUGGAAACUAAGCAAAAAGGCAGGGUAACUAAGAAAUCCAAUGAAUAAUGAGCAGAAAACACAAAGGAAAGGAUUGAGAAAUGCCAAGAAAAAUCAGGGGAAAUAAAAAUUUAGACUAGCAAUCCCCAGGCUCCUACCUGCACAUUUCUUCAUGUUUCCGUCAUAAUUUCACUCCAUUUGGGUUUCCUAUAUGUUUUUUGUUUCAGGGGAGACCACUUCCCAUCUCCAUAAAGCAUUUCCCCUAAAACCAAUAAGCCAACUUCCAUGUUUACUAUGCUUUAACAAUUACUGACACAGUAGCUGCUUCUCUUUUCAGUUUCUUGGUGGAUAAUACUCCCAUAAGACUAUUCAGAAAUGCAGAAUCAAUGGGUGUUCCCUUCCCCAAGAACCAACCAAUGAGAAUUUACUCGAGCCUAUGGAAUGCGGAUGACUGGGCCACAAGAGGAGGGUUGGUGAAAACUGAUUGGUCCAAAGCCCCCUUUACAGCAUACUACAGGAACUUCAGAGCCUACACCUCCACCUCCUCAAACUCAUUCUCUAAUAGUGCAUGGCAGUUCCAAGAGCUUGAUGCCAACAGCCGAAGACGACUGAGAUGGGUUCAGAAAAAUUUCAUGAUUUACAACUAUUGCACCGACUACAAACGCUUCCCUCAAGGCCUUCCUCCUGAGUGUAAAAACUCAAAAGUUUAGUCUCUGGAAAACAGGAUAAGGAUCUCUACUAAAAGAAAGAGUUGAGCUUGUAUUAUAUUUCAUGGUAGAGAUCAUUUAGUACUUCUGUUGUGCAUAUUCCACUUGUUUGGGUGCUUAAGAGGUUAAAUAAAACAUAUUGUUGACAAUUGUUUGUUGUUUGAAUCAUGGGUUUAAUGUAACAAAAGUAUACUUCAGCCACUCUUCAAACAGUUGGCAAUUGAUGGUUAGAAUUUGUAUCACCAGGCAGUUAUUGUUUGAGGGCAUCUCAUUCGAGUGGUGAGAGGGGGGGUGAGGUUGAAAUUGAAAUUGCUAUUUCCUGUUUGCACCUCAAUAAUUCAAUAUGAAGGAUGUUCAUACUCCAUGUUGAGUGAAAGAGAGAUCUAAAAGGACAAGAAAUUCCAGAAUAAUUGAAGAGCCUGAAAAUUCCUCAAAGUUGUAUCCAAUAUUAAGACAACAAGUCUUCCUCCUUUGGAAUGGUCUUCCAAUUAUUUGUCACUCUGUCUAUAGAAAAUCCUACAGAUAUCAACAUAUUUCCUAACUACAUGUCAGUUGUAAAACUAAACCAAGUUUCAUAUCCAUGCUGAAAAUUUCCUCAUCUACUAAACUCAUUUCCCCUACUCACUGUGGAUCCAAAGAAUGAUUAAACUCAGACCCUGCUUCAGUAGACUAAUUGCUAGAUAAUGGCCUUCUGAACACAAACGAGAAGAAGUAUAAUAAGACACCACUCUUAAGAUUGUUAUGCUUAGACAUUGCACAUUUAAAUCUUACUGAUGAAUCUAAAAAUUUCUCUAUGCUCAUCUAUCCUCACUAUUUGGCAACUGUCAUUUCCAGUUGCUGAUAAAAGAUUUUACAAUCUUUAAAAAGGCUGAAUCCUGUGGAACAUAAUUUUGCAAUUCAAAGAUGACUAAACAAAACCACAAUCCUAAAGUUAUAUGAGACAUGAUUUCAAGAGUACAUAUUCCGAACACAAACCCUUUUAUAAGAGCUCUUCUGAUCAGUGCCAUGAAUACAUCCGUAUCACAUUUGCUAAAGCUAAACUGGAAUUAUUCCAAACUAAUAGCAGUUAUAAUUAUUCUUCUAAUCAGCACCACGAAAACAACAAAAUUCACAUUAAGGGAACCUACAUCUAAACAGAUCUCUCAAAAAAUUAGCUGAAAAAUAGGUGGAAUCCAUAACAAUGCACAGAGAAGAAUUUAUUGAUGUGAAAUCAUUUUAGGUAUACAUAUUCCAAACUUAAAGCAAUUAAGAUGAUUCUUCAAAUCAAAGCCAUAAAAGAUGCUCGUAUUCACACUAGUUGAAGCUAAAGUAGCAUCUUACAGAGCUUCAAGACAUGAAGCUAAAGAAGCUGAAAUCCAUAACAAAUGGCUACAUAUUAAAUGCAGACAGUGUUGUGUGUGGUGGCAAGCAUAGCUUUCUGGAUUCAUGAUUUUUCUUUUAUACAACUAUUGUUUGCCCUCUUCCACAGGUAAAUUAUAUCUAUCAACUUCUCAGCAACAUUAAAUGUCACUUACUGUUACACUUGGCAAAAACACGCGAGCAAAUCCCCAAUACUGUAGCCUCUGCAAGGCAAAUUAUCCUGGAACAAGAAAGACCUGCUACAACAACCAAGCAUGCCUUGCACAACACAUGCCUUAAAUUAAUAUCACCAUCUGAAGAAUAUAUCAAAACUCUUUGUCCUCUAUCUUCUUUCUCCUUCAAAAUUAUUUGCUUGACAAGCUUGUCUUUGUAACGACUUUUUCAUUAACAUAAUUGGAGAACGAUACCCUUGGCCGCUGCAAACACUGUUAGGAAAAAGAGUAACUAAGCUUAAGGAGUACUUUAGGUAAGCAUAUGGGCUGUGAGCAUAAGUCAAUUAUGCUGCCCACACACAGUAAAACUAGCAGGUUGUUACAGAAGAAAAUUGUAACAAAUAAUUAGUCCAACAUUUGUUGAAGUAAUAGCUUGUAGCCUGCCUCUUUAUGAUUACUGUGUUUUUACACUUAAAUGAUCAUUCGUGCCAUAGCAAAAGAAGGGCAUGCUAGGGAGGUGAAAAUAGGAGGACAAGGAUUUCCAGUCCCAAAUAGUAAGAACUUCUUUUUGAUAUAGUUGGAAAAUGGUGUUUAAACAGUGGAAUCAAUUAAAAAAGGCAAAAAGAAUAAGUUGGCACUCACUGUAAUUCUGCAGUGAAUGUUGAGGUCAUAAUUCAUUUGUUUUAGUCGUUCUUUUGCUAGUUCUGCUGCAUUGGAAGCUUUCUCACAAGCAUCUUUUACCUGUAGUUAAACAGGAAAAAAGAGAAAAAGAACAAGAGAAAAAUUAGAUAUAGCAAUAGGCAAAGUUUCAUAGAAACCAGAGAAAACUCCUCAAGCUUUUUGAGGACAAAAGAUUGUUCCAGAAUUUGCAUAUUCAAGCCAAUAAGAAAAACAUAGGUUGAUGAAUAACUCAUGAAUGACUAAUGGUACAGCAUACCUAGUCCUAAAGUAUUGAAAAGCGAUUUUUUUUUUGUGACUCCAAAAGAAAUGAAUGAAUACUUGGACAAGCAUGGAUGCUAGAAUGAAACACGUAUGGUAUACCUAGCACUGAUGGCCACACAAAAUAAUGGUGAAAGUUUAGCAAGCAAAAAGCUAACAUGGAAAAGUUAUAUUGUUCAUUACAUUGGGAUUAUGAUGGUAGAAGAUGGAAGUUAAAGAAUUACAAUGUGAGAUUCCCAAUCUUUUUAGGAAAUACAGGUAUUUGACUUGUAUCAGAAAGCUCAGUAGAUGCAUCAACAUUUAUCAAUUAAGAAGCAAAAACCAUGAACAUAAGUAUGAGCUACUCUAUCCAAAGAUACAAUGUGUUUGGUUCAAAUUUGUAUGACAGAUUCAAGGGAGCAAAACAUAUUAUAGAAUACCUAGCCAUAUGACACAAGCUAGGAAAACCAAAUAAUAAGCAUAUUUGUAAACCAAGAUUGCUUAUAUUCCAAGCUAGGUAUAUGUUGGCCAUCCAUCUCCAGUAAAAACCAGCCAAUCAUAAAACAAAAGUAUCACUAAUCAUUAGCAAAAGUCUACAGGAUUAAGUGGUUCUUGAGCAAGAAAGUUACUCCGCUGGGGCUUUUGACUAACUGGCUCAAUUCAUUUCAUGUCAUUUUUUAAUUUUAAGAUCCAUUGCAUGUGCAAACUCUCUACUAUAGUUGGUUACAAAUAAAAUAACCAAAAUUCUAAAAUGAUAAAAUUCCAUGAGAUAGAUGCAUAGUGAUGUACCAGACUCGUGAUUCAACAAGAGUCAGAAAUUUCUUUGUUAAAAAUUAAUUUGUUAAUCUUGCAGACUGAUACAUGCCACCCUUUCUUAAGAGUUAACUACAACAACUAUGUGCUCAGCCAAGCCACAGAAAAAAUGUUUCCACAUAUGCAUACAAAUAUGAAGAUGAUUUGAACAGAACAAUGGACAAUUUGUACAUGUUAAAUAUAAUUUCAUUUAUUUUCAUUGAUUUCAGAAGUGUCUUAACCAACAACUUUGCCCUUCAACAAAAUCCAACACUUAUUUUGAAAAAUUAGAUCUACUCUUAAAACACCAAUGUCACUAGCAUCUUCAGUAGCCAGCUUAUGUUAAUAUUCAAAUAGAAUAAAUUUAUUCAAAGAAACUAAAAGGACGGAAGUUCAAAUUAAUAGAGAAUUAAAUUGCAUACUGAAGAGGCUGGUGCAUAUUGAAACUAAGUUAGUUCCUAUUUUGAAAAUGGUGCAAAGCAUCUUGGUGAAGUUGAACUGGAAACAAUAGACCCCAAAUAUUGUUCCAACUAAUAGGAGCUUUUUUCAAGGUAAGAACAUGGACCCUGAAGGUUUCCAGGCCUUUAGUGGCUUUGAAUGAGGUCUUUAAAACAUAAAGAGAUGCUGGAUUGGGCACUAGGAAGACCAAUGAUUUAAACACAGCUAUUCUUCUUUUUCCCCUCUUUUUGGCUAAAUUGGCUUGGGAAGUUCUUAGUGAUAGUCAUGGCAGUUGGAUGAACAUUACAAGACAAAAACGUAUUGGUAAGUUAUCCAGAUCAUAAUGAACUAAAAGAAAUGGUGAACUUGUGUCAAUUUUGGGUCCAUAAUCAGGUCUACCAUUAACUGGGUAGAUGAAGUCUACAAAAUACAUUGAUUACUUUAAUUGUCUUGGAAUUUGGAGCCUCAACGAAAAUAGAGCAUGUUGGACUCAAACCAAGGAUGAGGAUUCAACAUAGGUAGUUUGGGCUAAAGGCAGCAAUAAGAAUUAUCAAAAGGCCAAUCUUCUUAAUUGAAUUAGAAAAGUAAAGCUAAUCUCUACUAAUUUGAUAUUUGCAUGGUGACUUUAUUGACCGGAUUGAAAAUAUCUAUCCUGAAAAUCAGACUACCUAAGUUGUUUUCUAAAUAAAUGGAACUAAUAGCUACCCUUGGAGAAUUUAUUCAGUGAAGCCAGGUGAUGCUUCUGUUAUUAUCAUGGAGGUUCCCGCUCUUAGAGGACUUAUGUUGGCAGCAUAAAAAGGUUUUCAAACUUCUUGAAAUGGAAUAGUAUUUCCAUUUGGUGUUUCUACUAAACAAAGAAUAAAAAAAGCAAGAAGAGUUGGGAAAUUGGAUCUUCAGUUCAUGCAAUAUUUACCUGAUUGACAUGGACAAAAGCAUCAUUACUGGCUCCAACAGCAGAUUCCUCCAACAUCUUCCUUAAGUAAGAUAGUUCCUUCAUCAAUUCCCCUGCUACUUCCUCAGCAUCUUGCAUUUGAUUUCUAGAGAACUCAAAUGCUCUUUCAGCAUGGAGGCGAAACGAAGCACAGUUUAGACAACUGCAAAGUCCCCUGCAGCCUCGUGGAUUUCUUUUAAGAAUCCCCUUCUGGAGUCUAGCAUCAGGAAAUCCUGAAGGAGCAAAUGCUUCAACUUGUAACGAGUUUUGCUCAAAAUUAAUUGUAUCUGAUGACUUCACAUUUGUAAUUAACUCCAUUUCUGGAGUCACACAGUUCUCUUCUGUAUCUACAGAUGGUUGAUGACAAACUUCUACAACUGUUUCUUCUCUUGACAAAGCUUCACAAGUGACAAUACAUGGUAGUGUAUCUGGUUGAUCCGUUCCCUGAAUCACAGUCAAAUUAUCAUUGAGAGGCUCCAACUUACUAGAUUCAUCUGAUUUAACCCGUUCAAUUUGCGACUCCCGUUCCUUCUGUGAAUCAAAUGCAAUCUGGGGUUCACCAAGGUGUUCAUCAGAUAUCAAAUCCAGCUUUUUAUCAUUAAUAGAUCCUUCAGAGGGAGUCAAUGUGGCUGUGUGCAGGGCACCAGAAUCAACAUUAUUACCUUCUAUCUGAAAACCGUUCACAUUCAAUUUGUUUUCACACAUUUCUUCAUUGUGAGAAGCCAGCAAAGAUGGGUGUGGCUUUUCUUCUAAGCCCAUCUCGGGUUUUGGGCAUUGAACAUUUUUGGAAGCACCUAUAAGAAUUGGUUAUAAUACAUUAGAACUUAGCCUUUCAAUAUAUUCCCUUCUAUUGAGAAAAGAAGAUGGUAAAACAAGAUAGAAAAAUUUACAGGAAUUUUCUUUUGCAAUAUCCAUCAGAUAAGGAAGCAAUCUUCUAUAGCUGAAUGAGCCUGGAGUUUUGAAUAACUUGAGCCGAGAAUAUGGAUUGAGAACCUACAACCCAGAAUUCAAAUCGCCAAAGUAAUUAAAUUGCACUAAUCCCAUGCCAACAUCUAAAAAAAAAAUCACAUUAUUGUGCCAAUCCUGUCACAUUUUCAGAUUUUAGAAAAAUAAAAACAUAAGUCAAAAUGAGUUAUCUUCUUUACCGAUCUACUUCUCGACAUGGAGUCAUUUUUGCGAAUGUUCCCACACGGCUGCUUCAGCAAAAUAUUUUCAGUACUCUGGGACACACAUUGAGCUCCAUUACCCUCACCUUCAUCCACCUCUGGCUUGCUGAAAAUAUCAGCAUCCGGCGGCGUCAUCUGAACAUUUUUCUCGUCACAAAACCCGGCAUUCUCCUUCAUGGCAGCCGCCUUCGGAUCAUCUCUGCUGCUCUCUGUCGAGUCAUCCAAAUUCCGAUCUGGACUGAGAGAUUCUACUCCAAUUUUCCCCUCGAGCGAGGCCGUUCCAUCAGGAUAACCACAUCCAUCCUUCAGGAUUUGAGGCUUAUCAGUGGCCAGAUUACAACAAGAGAACACGCGAUGCGCCCGGAGAUCCUUGAUAGCAAUGUGGGAAAUCUGGCCUUCAUCGAGACGGCUUCGAGGCCCAUAUCUCCCUCUGGGCUUUCCUUGAGGCAAUUCUGACCAUUGAAAUGUCGUUGUUGGUGUAGUGAGGAGCCUUUUACGGCCAGAUCGAUUGCCGCCGAUGUGGACUUGAGAUUUACUGCGAGUGAAGAUGCCUGUAGAGGAAGGCUGUUUUCGUUUCUUAGAGCUUGAGUUGGCUGCCAUGGCUGCUUCUGGUUUAGGGUUUUUGGAAUGGAGAGGCUUUUUUGGAGAUUUUUGUACAGAGAGAUAUGUUUUGGCGGGAAAGAGUGAAAGGGGCGAUGGCGGGAAAGGGACAGGAAUUGGCGGGGAAGUCGGAUAAGAGGGCUGCAAACCCGAAUUUUUUAUAAAAAGUAAGGUCAUUUAAAAAUAAUUUUUUUAAAUAAAGCACAUUGAAAAAUAAUUUUAAUUUUACGGCAAUUUGCACUAUUCACACUAUUUAGUCGUUAUCCUCUUUAAAAAUAAAGUGAAAUAGAGAAUAGAUUUUAAAAAAUAAGUAAAAGUUAUUUUUACCAAAUUUUAAAAACAAAAUGGAAACACUAAGAAAAUUUUAAAAAUCAUAAAAAGUAAAUAAAAUUAAAUAUGACAUUAAUCUUUUUCUCUCUUAAUAAUCUAAUAUCAAUAUAAAAAAACAUUUAAAUAUGAUAUUUCUUUAAAUUACACGUGUUUUUCUAAUUCUUUUUUUACCUUCUUUAUUAAGCCAAUGAAUUAUAAAUCAAAUAUAUAUAAGAUUUAUUAAUUUAAAAAAAAUAAUCUUAAACUUAAAUAUUGAUUUAAUUACUACCAAAAGGUCAUAAAACUCAAUAAUAUUAUAAAGUUAUAGACUAAAAUUUAUUUUAAAUAACUUGGUUAGUUUCUUCUUUAUGGAAUAAAACUCAAACAAUGAUGCAAUUGAUAGUAGAAAUUUAUGGAAUAAAAUUGGUUUAGAAAGACUCAAUUGUUUUUCUUCUACAUAGAAUAAUUUUAUUUUAUUUUUCACUAGAUAUAUGAAACUCAAAUUAAGUAAGACUUAAUGCAUUGAAUUUAUUGAAAAGUUUAGUAAUUUUAGAAAUAGCUUAGAACUUAAAUAAUUAAAAAAGCUCGGAAGUCCAAUAGGGUAACACUUAGAGGGGUGAAUGAGUGUAUUUAAAAAUUUAUUUGAAUAUUAUAAUUAACUUUUUCCUUGCAAAAAGUUAAGGAUGAUUAAUUCAUUCAAUUAUUGGCAAUGCAAUGAAGAUAACAAAAAAUAAGCAAUGAGACACAAGGAUUUUUAUAUGGAAAACCCUCACACUCGCUGUAGAGAGAAAAAACCAUAAGAUCUAAAACCGUCAAUCUAAUUCUACUAUAUGAGAUCAAAUUAUGUAGAUUUAUAUUACUGUUUUACCCUAAAGACUUACUCUUCAAUACUUAUAACUUGAUUCACGUCUGCAAUACAAUAAUCUCUUAUUACUUUAGUGAAUACAUUUCAGCCUCUUUAAAGGAAUGAAGGUAUUCAACUAAGAUUCAAAGCUUGAAUCAUUUGAAUGAAAGAUGGAGAAUGAUAAGGCUUGUUAGACUUUCUCCUCAAUGAAACUCCCUCUAAAGAAAUUAAGAUUUCUUUUGAAAUCUCUCUAAUCUCUAACCCUUAGAGGGUUAUAGAGAGGUGUUUAUAGGCAAAUAACUUAAAAGGGUUUGAUAUGAAUAGGUUUCCAAAUCUAAUUUACGUGAAAUUCUAAAAAAUAUUCUCUUAUUUUCAACAAAAAAUAUGAGUGUUCAAGUACACUUAACCACCACUUGAACGCCUCGAAUGCUUGAGUGGUGCUAAGUGCUUAAGUGAUCUCAGCACUUGAGUGUUGCUACCGGUCGAGCAUCCACUGUUUCAUUUAACUUUUAAAAAAAAUCAAUUUUUGUUAAUUUAAAAGGUACCAUUCCUCUUUAUACCUCAUAAGAGUCUAACUUGUCAUAAGCGAAAUCUUUUUAGAUGUACUUAUGACUUUUCGAUUGGACGAACAACAACACUUAAUCUUUAAUGAAGAGCAAAUAAUUAUUUAAAAGGACUUCUAUAACUAAACAUUAAAAAGAAUAAAAUUACCAACGUACAAAUAAAAUUCCAUGUCUUAAUAAUAAUGAUGUGAUUAAUACCAACAAUUAUGGACAAAAAUUAGUCUAGAAAGACUAAUAUUUAUCUUCUACAUAAAAUCAUUAAUUUUUUUAAUAUUUUUUUCACUAUGCAAAUGAACUCCAAAUUAAGCAAAACUUAAUGCGUUGGAUUCAUUGAUGAGUUUAGUAAUUUUUAAAAAUAAUUUGAAACUCAAAUAAUAGACUCAUUAAUACCAUAAAUUUAUGAAUAAAAAUUAGUUAUAAUGACUUUAUUGUUUCUCUUUUAUAUCAAAUCAUUAUUUUCUAAUUUCUUUUACCAGGCAAAUGAAUUAGUAAUUUUUAAAAAUAAUUUGAAACUCAAAUAAUAGACUCAUUAAUACCAUAAAUUUAUGAAUAAAAAUUAGUUAUAAUGACUUUAUUGUUUCUCUUUUAUAUCAAAUCAUUAUUUUCUAAUUUCUUUUACCAGGCAAAUGAACUCCAAAUUAAGCAAAACAUAUAUGUUGGAUUCAUAACAAGUCUAAUAUUUUUUUUUUAAAGGCUUGAAGCUCAAAUAAUGACUCAAUUAAUACCAUAAAUUUAUUGAAAAAAUUGGUCUAAAAUAACUAUAUUAUUUUUCUUUUGCAUAGAAUUAUUAUUUAAUUUUUUUUUCACUAGAAAAAUGAACUCCAAAUUAAAGCAUGAUUAAUGUGUUUCAUUCAUUGAUGAGUCUAACAAUUUUUAAAAAUAAUUUUACACUCAAAUAAUAAAUCCAUUAAUACUAAAAAUUUAUAAAUAAAAAUAUGCUUAGAAUAACUCUAUUAUUUCUUUUUCUACACAUGGUUAUAUUUUUAUAAUUUUUUAUACUAAAAAAAAUAAGUUUCAAAUCAAAUAAUACUUUGAUUUUAUUAAUGGAUUAAAAAAUAGAUCUAAUCACUAAAAAAAUAAUAAAUCAAAAUUGAAAUAUUAUGAGUUAUAAUUUUAUUAUUUUUCCUAUACGUGUCAACUAUAUUUUUUGAAUUUAAAUAUAUUAUAAAUUAAGUCAAACAUAAUUAAUAAUUUAAAUUCUUAAAUGAAUCUUUUAAUUUUUAAGAAUAAUUUAGAAUUAAAAAUAUUGAUCCAAUUAAUUAUAGAUUAAAUCAAAACAUUUUAGAAUAUUAUAUUCAUAAUUGAGUAGUAAAUGUGUAUAUGUGAAUAUUAAUUAAUAAUUUUAUUUUAAAAUUAUUUUUUUAAAAAAAUUAUGAAGAUGUCAAUAUCCUUAUAUUUGUAAUAGGUGGUAUUUUUUAAUAAAAAUUUUAAUUUAUGAUUUUUUUAUAAUAUUAUUAUUUGUGUUUUACUAAAAACUAUUUAUUUUUUAAUUUAUUUGUAAUUAUAAAACUAUUUUCAUUUUUUAAAAGACUUGAAUUAAAUUUAAUUAAUAUUAUAUAAAUUGAAUUUACAAUAUUUUUAUAAAAUAAAAAUUAAAAAUUAAAAACAACUUAUCGAAAUAAGUUUUUUAUUUUUUAUUUUGAAAAACCAUUUUUAAAAACAACUCGUCAAACACCCUUAUAUUUUUUUAUAAAAUACUAACAAACUGUUUCUAUUCUUUAAUUUAAAAACAAUUUUAACAAAAAACAACUUUUAGAAAUAAGAAUAAGAAAACACGAUCAAAUGAGCCCUUAUUUAUUUGUUUGUUGUUUGUGUUUUGUUUACUAUUGUGGUUCUAUUUAGUAAUUAGUUCUUCCCUAUAAUAAGAUGAUCUUUAAUUGAGUAAUUGGUUAGAUUAAUCCGAAACCUUUUUUAAUUGUUCCAAUAAAAAAACCUUUCUUAAUUAUUAAUCCAAUAAGAGAAUUUUUUUCUAUCUAUAGUUUUUUCUAUGACUAAAUAAAUUUAUUACUUAAUAUCUAAUAUUUUAAGAAAAACAAAAGUUAAAUUGAUUUUACCAAAGUCUAAAACUUAAUUAAGUCAGAUAAUUAAAAUAUGAUUAAUUGAAAGUUAUCUUAAGCACAUUAAAUUCUACCUCUUACCACCUAAAAUUAUUUCAUAUUUUACAGUAGUCAUAGAUUCGAGUUGUCCGGAAAAGGUAUAUAGGAUAUGCAUUCUUUUACUUAUAAACAAUGUAUAAAACAUAUAGGGUCAUGGAUUUCUUCUCUUUUUCAAUGUCGGAUAUCAUAAUAGGCACUUCUCUCAUGUGAAGAGGGACCCCGUAACGAGGUUGGCUCAUAUAAGAUAACUAUAUUGGAAAAUGGUCUCUACAUCUUAACUUUGGGUCGCGUCUAGAAGACGACAAACUACCGGUCAGUGUACAGCAGAAGAGAAAGUGAGACAGGAUACUUAUACAUCUCUUGAAAUUAAUUAGUCUUUGAGAAACAAAGAGGAAGAAGCAGCUCACAAUUCCUCCAAACAUCAUUGCAAACGUCAUAGCUCUGUUUCCCCAAAUUCGUCAUUACAAACGUCAUUCCAUACUCUGCCUUCCUUAUUUAAAGAGUCCCAUGCAGAUGCAGAUGCAGUUCGAAACACAAGUCAGAUUUGAUCAUCCUCUGCAUAGACCCAACCGAAGUAUCUCCACUUCAUCUUCUUCCCCUACAAUGACACAACCCCACUUCAUUGUGAUAACCUAUCCGGCACAAGGCCACAUCAACCCUUCUCUCCAACUGGCUAAGCGCCUCAUACGUGUUGGUGCCCAUGUCACAUUCGUCACUAGCACCUAUGCCAGUGAGCGCAUGGCCAAAACCCCAACCAUGGAUGGGUUAAAAUUCGUCACAUUCCCGGAUGGCUGCGACAGUGGCCUCAAGCAAAGCGAUGCCCUCCAAGGCUUCAUGUCUGAGCUUGAGCGUCUUGGCUCCCAAGCUCUUACCGACCUCCUCAUAGCCAGCGCUAAUGAAGGUCGUCCCGUUGCUUGCAUAAUCUACGGCAUCCUGAUUCCUUGGGUAGCAGAGGUGGCGCAUAGUCUUCACAUCCCCUCCGCACUUUUUUGGAGUCAACCUGUCUCUGUUUUUAAUAUCUAUUAUUAUUAUUUUUGUGGCUAUGGAGAGCUCAUUCGCAAGAAAGUCCGUGACUCCUCGCCUUCCAUUGAAUUACCAGGACUGCCCUUGCUCAGUAGCCGUGACAUUCCCUGUUUCCUACUCCCCUCAAAUGCAAAUGAAUACAACUUCGUCCUUUCAGCGUUUGAGAAGCACCUAGAGAUGCUCCACCGUGAUACCAACCCAACGGUACUGAUAAACACUUUCGAUGCAUUGGAACCAGAGGCCCUAAGGGCCGUCAGUAAGUUUAAGUCGAUUGGAGUUGGACCCUUGUUUCCAACCGCUUUCUUGGGUGGAAAAGAUCCAUCCGAUACUUCAUUUGGAGGUGAUCUUUUCCGUCGUUCAAAGGAUUAUAUUGAAUGGCUGAACUCAAAGCCUGAAUCUUCUGUCAUUUACGUGUCAUUUGGAAGCCUAGCGGUGUUAUCGAAGCAACAGUCUGAGGAGAUUGCUCGUGGAUUGCUGGACAGUGGCCGGCCUUUCCUGUGGGUCAUAAGAGCCAAGGAGAAGGGAGAAGAAGAGAAAGAAGAAGAUAAACUAAGUUGCUACGCAGAAUUAGAACAACAAGGGAUGAUAGUACCAUGGUGUUCUCAGGUUGAGGUUCUCUCAAAUCCAUCACUGGGUUGUUUCGUGACUCAUUGUGGGUGGAAUUCAACCUUGGAGAGCUUGGCUUCUGGGGUGCCAGUUGUGGCAUUUCCUCAGUGGACCGACCAAUCCACGAAUGCAAAGCUAGCCGAAGACGUGUGGAAAACGGGUGUACGGGUGACCGUGAACCAAGAAGGAAUAGUUGAAAGCGAUGAGAUUAAGAGGUGCUUGGAAUUGGUCAUGGGAGAUGGAGAGGAGGCGAAAGAAAUGAGAAGGAAUGCAAAGAAAUGGAAGGGUUUGGCAAGGGAGGCUGUGAUGGAAGGUGGAUCAUCUGACAAGAAUCUUAAGAAUUUUAUGGAUGAGGUCAUACAAGGUUACUAGCUAGAUAUUGUGGUUGUAUCUCUUGGAGUUUAUGUUAAGACUCCCCGAUUAAUUUAAAUAUUUUACAAGAAGAUUUUUAUUAUUUAUGAUGUUAAUACAAGUAGUAGUAUUAAUUAAUGGUAGAGGGCAUAUCUAAAAUUAUGGGAGAUUCAUUGCUUCCUGAAGGCCCUAUCACAAAGGAUCUGUCAAAUGCGUGGCUAAGGUGCUGUUUGGUAAAUGUCCGUUACCAGCCAAAAUUUUGCAAUUAUUGCUAAUGGGAAUCAGGGAAACCCCAAACUGGCCUUGAUGGUCCUUGCGUAAAGACCCAUCCAAUUCUUUACAUUGUGGCCACUGAUUUGGUGUCUUAUCCUCUCAUGCCCAUCACUUCAUGUUUACAAAUUGAUAUUGUAUUCAUAGCUAUUUUUGAUGAAGGUUCAAUUGGCAAGAAGUAUUUUUGCCUUGGGAAGAUGUUGGUUAUGGAUUCAAAGCAAAAUAACAGAUUAAAAAAAUGAUCCUUGUACAAAUUUUUGGGUGCCUCUAUUAAUUAAGUGAAUAUUAUUAUUUAAUUGAUAAAUUAAUAAUUUAUUAAUUUAAUUACUUAUUAAUUAAAUCUCUGGAAUAAUUCUAUUAUGGAACCUAUCUUGCACUAAGAAGCAUCCAUAGCGAUAAUAAUAUUAAAUAAAUUUUUGUUAUAGUACGAGAAUGUUACAUCAGACCUUUUUUUUUUUUUUUUUUUUUUCAUAUUAGGAAUAGUUGAAGAUGAGAUUCAAGUAAACAUCAGUUUUAAGAAGAAAUAACACAUAUAUUUUAAGAAGGAUUCUUGAUAAAACAUAUGAAUUUAAUUACACAUUAGAAAAUUAUUAAUUUCUAUAAUAUGUGGAUUUUAUAUGAAACUACAUAGAUUUUUUAUUUUAUAAAUUUAUCAAAUUAUUAGUUUAGCACGGUGGCCCCAAGUUUAGAUUAAUUAAAAAAAAUUAAUUGAAGUUCUUAAUUAAUUAAAUAUUAAAUUAUUAUAAAGUUUUAUUGUAUUUUAUUUUCAUGGUUCUAAAAAUUGGAUUGAACUAGUCGAUUUGAUUGGUUUGAGCAUUGAUUGACUAUGUAUUUUACAUAUGAGAUCGAUUAUGAGUUGCACUUUCAUCCCAAGGUAUUUUAAAAUUAGGAAAAUCAAUCCCAAGGUAUCUAUUUUUCUUUUCUUAGUCUAUUCACUAUUGUCCAAACACUCCAUAUGUGGAAUGUGGAAUGUAACUUGGAGGGGCUUGAAUAUGCAGAGUUUUAUAACUUUGCACAUUAAUGUCUCAAAGUGUUAAAAUCUUUUACAACUAAUUGUAGAUAAGUUUAGUAUUGACAAAUAAUUUUAUUACAAUUAAAUAAAAUAUUAGAAUUUUUUUAUUAUCCUACUAAUUUUAUGACAAUCAAAUUUAUACAAAAGUAAUUCUUGGUGUCUCGUGUUACUAAAAACAGAAACUCACUUAAGAACUCAUCACGCCUUUGGUGGAGAAAGAUACUUCAUGGGAUGCUAGUAUUAAUUCUCAAGCAGUGGACCUAGGUGAGAGUAAGAAGAAAACCAAAAUAGUAGAACACUCAUCUAAAUUGUCCCAAAAAAAUGGAGGACAAAAUUCCCAAGAAAGUUCAAUAAACAAGUACAAGAAAAGCCAUGAAAGCCCAUUAUUUUUGGAAACAAUGUCAAAUAUUGAAGAAAUUGUCAAAGCAAAAUAUUGAACUUUCAACUUUAGGCACUUAAACAUACUAAUAAGGGGGGGAAUGAACAUAUUACAUAUGACAGUCCUUUAUCGUCGUAUUGACUUUUUUGAUAUGGUGGUAAAGUAUGAAGUGCUUGCAAGAGGGCUAUUAUCAUAUAUGGAAAAUGAUGAGAAAUCCAUACUAUAUAUGGUGAGCUAGAAAAGAAAAAGGCAAGCUAGUGAAAAGAUGCAAAGCCUUGCACUCUAGUUACAAGACGAGUUGCUUUUGUUUGAGGUGCACUUCUACUCACCCAUUAGCCAUAAAUGUAUGCAUUAUUCACAUGCAUUCACUUGGGUCAAGCAUUUUAAUUGUUCAUCUUCAUUACCAAAAAGAAUAAGUUAUUAGCUAGCUAGGUGAUAGAUGAGAAAUAUGUAUCAAGUUAGAAAAAUGCUAAGUUACAUAAUAGGUAUCACACUGAAUUCUAAAUUUGAGCUACUAAUGUGUGGAACAAAACAUGGAUUGUAAAAUACCAAUACUAAAAGAUGAGACUUAGAUAUAAAGAAAUAAAAUAAAAUAAAGUAGAAAAAAAAUAUAAUCUUAGUAUAAUUAAUAAAUAGAAACUUGUUAGAUGCAUGAACAAAAAAGAUCAUUUUUCCACAUAUAUUGACUUUUUGUCAGCUAUCCCUUUUUUUUAUGAGGUAUGGAAAGCAAUUUCCCUAUCAUAGAAUGAUUAAUAAAUGCAUGGGAAAAUAAUUGAACACAUUAAUGAGAUUCAAAUUCAAGAUUCAUAAGCCAAGGUACCUAUUAAAAGCUGCUAGUUGACCUAUAAGUUUAAGCUGAUAGAAAAAUAAUGAUAUCAAGCUUACCAGGAUUAGAUGAAGGGAUUAUAAAAAAGAUAAAAAUAAAAUUAUUGUGUGCAUUCCAAGAAUAGCGACUUGUGAUUGUAUGAGUGGGUGCAAAAAGUGAAGUUAGCCUAUAAGAUUCAUUUCUCCAAUCCUCUCAACAAAGACCACUAGACUGCUAAAGAAUUAUUUGCUACUACAAAUGAGCAACUCCAUCAAGAAGCUAAGGAAUGGCUAAUGCUUACCAUAGAGAAUUGCACCACUCUUUCUAUUUUCAUAGCCACUGUUGCCUUUGCUACAACCUACAUGGUACCAGAGUAAAAAACUUAGAGAUAUGAAGAAAAGAAGAGAUGCGGAGCACCUAUUUGAGAGAAAAUCGGAGAGAUAAAAACUAAAAAAAUUGAACAACUUAGUAUCAUUGAUAAGAACUUUGUUUCUUAUAUACAAAUAUUCAGAAAUUAGUUACAAACAACUGAUUACUACUCAAAAAGUGCUAUUUGAUAGCUUAUAAUUAAUCCUUUUAAACACUUUUGAGUAGUAGUUUUGGCCUUUUAACUCAAUUGGCAUGUUAAGGACCCUUGAAAGCAAUUUUAAUCACUUUGUGUAAGUUUUGGUGUUUUUGUUAGUAUUUUGAUCACCAAAGCAAUUCAAGAUUGAGGAGAAUUUUGAGGAAUCUUGGGCAAAGAUUGGAAGUCAUUUGCCAAGAGUAAAUCCGAAGUGCAAGGAGAAAAAGUAAAGAGAAUCUGCCAUGAAGCAUAUUCUUGAUGACAGUCGUGGCAGCCACUUUUGGAGCACUUUCUGAAGUCCAAUUGAUGCAUGCUAUAUACCAUUUCAAAGAUCAGGAAGUCAACAAUCUAAUGCUUCAAACGGUGCACAAUUCGGAGUUGAAACGAAGAAGUUGCAGCCAUUGCAAGCCAAUCACUCCAAGCUGAAGGAAGCAUUUUCCAAAGUGUUGCGAAAUCACCCUUUUGUUGCGAAGUGAUUUCGCAGCAUUUUUGUACAGUAUGGUGUAUUUCCUCCUGAAGUUGCCCGAUAUAUGCCGCAAGCUGGAAGCUGAGAGCAUCAAGGUAGAAGCCAACUUCGCAGCCCUGCGAAGAUAGCAUGUUGUUGCGAAAUGAUUUCGCAGCCCUUCUUGAGUGUCUGCGAAAUCUCGCAGACACCAUUUUCUCUUGCGGAAUGGUUCCUGGAGCAUCCCGAUAUUUGCUACCGACAUUGGGAGAUAUUUUACAUCAGAUUUUUGUUGUCUAAAUCCCAAAAUACUCCUUGUAAGCCACCAAUUACAAGAUUCCUUAGCUUUAAGUUAGUAAAAAGAGAAAAUAUCUAUGUAAUAAUUAGUUUUAUAUUAUGUUCAUAUAAAUACCUCUCGGGAGCCUGUUCUCAGAGAGAGCCUUUUGUAAAGUUUUAGGUAAGCAAGUAAAGUUCAGUUCUUUGUAUUACCUUACCUUCUCACUUUGUAUAUUUUAUUUUCUUACUAAGUUAUGAACUCUCUGAGGAGUUUUCCCCAGAGAAUGAGUAACUAAACCUCUAAUUCCUUGGAGCUAAGGUUGCCGGGGAAGGUUCCAAGUGCAAGAAUGCAAAGCUUUGUGGUUUUAGCUAGUAAUGAAGAGGAAGUGAAAUCCUUUAGUGAUUUCUAUGUUUUUAGUUAACUUAAAACACCUUAGAGUCAUCUGGGCCAACACUUGGUAAGGCAAGUGAUUUCCAACCAUGGAAAUGCACUAGUUUACCCUUUGCGAGCCUCUGGAAGGUGACUUUAGGGUAGGAUUUUCUAGAAUAGCCAACACUUGGUAAGCUUUUGGACUCCAAGGAGACAUCCAUUAGUUAUCUCUUGCGAGCUUUUGAAGGGAAGUCCAAGGUUAAAGAUCAUCUUGAAUGGUAAGUGCUCGUGAGAGGCAUGAACCAUUGCAAGUUGUAUCAAUGAGAGAAUUAAAGUUGAAAUCCAAUUAAAGGAUGUAUCUGUACAACACCGGUUAGAGAAUUGACUAUAUGUUGAAUCUCUAACGCGAGGAAAGGAACCAUCUGACCGGAGCUAUGUCUUUUGCAUGAGGAACCACCCCAGUGAACCUAACUCUCCAAGGAAUGCUUUUCUUCCUAAGUUAUUCCGAGUACUUGUUAUGUUAGUUAGUUUAAAUCUUUACCAAUCAAAGUUUGUGUUUUAUUUCUUAAGCUAACCUUGAAAUGAAACAAGACCAAUUCACUUGGAAUUGGUAUCAUUGAUAGCUUGCUAAUCCUUCCCAGUGAACGAUCCUAGAGCCGUUAUACUAUAGUAGCUUUUUCUUUGCUACCCUAGUAUAUGGUGUUAUAGGUUAUAAAUUUUGUUGAUUACUCCCUCUAUCAAGGAGCACCAGUUGGACACGAAUCAGCUGAGACACCAAUUGGGCACGAAUCAAAUGGCGCCGUUGCCGGGGAAUGUGUCAAUUUUAUAGCGAUACCAUUUUUUAGCACUUGUGAUUGUCAUCACAAGUUUGGUAACGUUUCUUUCACUUUACUAAUUCUCAUUCUUUCUUUAUUUAUUCAUAAUCCAAGUUUAUCUUUUAAAUUCAGCUUAGUUUAAUUUUGUUUUUCGUAGCCCUGUUUUCUUUUGUUGUCCUUUAUUUUCAUUUUAGUUGCAGAUAGAUACUAGUUGUGUAUGCCAAAUUGGAUACGAGACAGUGGAGGAAGACUUGUUAAGUGUGAUACACCUCAUAACAAAGAAUUUGAGUUGAGCUUGAAUAUCAUGGAAACUACACCUGAAGAUCAGCAUAGUCACCAAGGUCGUCAAGACAAUCUCAAUGAAUUCAGAUCAAUGAGGGACCGUAUGCAUCCACCUCGUAUGAGUGCACCAUCAUGUAUAGUGCCCCCUACAGAGCAGCUAGUGAUCAGACCGUAUCUCGUUCCACUUCUACCAACUUUCCAUGGGAUGGAAAGUGAGAAUCCGUAUGCAUACAUCAAGGAAUUUGAAGAUGUUUGUAAUACAUUCCAAGAGGGAGGAGCUUCAAUUGAUUUGAUGAGGCUUAAGUUAUUUUCUUUUACUUUAAAGGAUAAAGCCAAAAUUUGGCUUAAUUCUUUAAGGCCAAGGAGUAUCCGUUCUUGGACUGACUUACAAGCUGAAUUCCUCAAGAAAUUUUUUCCCACUCAUAGAACAAAUGGCUUGAAAAGGCAAAUUUCAAACUUCUCAGCUAAAGAGAAUGAGAAAUUCUAUGAGUGUUGGGAAAGAUACAUGGAAGCUAUAAAUGCUUGUCUUCACCAUGGCUUUGAUACUUGGCUAUUGGUGAGUUAUUUUUAUGAUGGUAUGUCCUCCUCAAUGAAGCAACUCCUCGAGACAAUGUGUGGAGGAGAUUUCAUGAGUAAAAAUCCAGAGGAAGCUAUGGAUUUCUUGAGCUAUGUAGCUGAUGUUUCAAGGGGAUGGGAUGAACCAACCAAAGGAGAAGUGGGGAAGAUGAAGUCUCAACUGAGUGCUUUCAAUGCAAAGGCUGGGAUGUAUACCUUGAAAGAAGAUGAUGAUAUGAAAGCAAAAUUGGCAGCUAUGACAAGAAGAUUGGAGGAGCUGGAGCUGAAAAGAAUACAUGAAGUGCAAGCUGUUGCUGAAGCACCAGUGCAAGUGAAGCUGUGUCCCAAUUGUCAAUCAUAUGAACAUUUGGUGGAGGAAUGCCCUACAAUUUCAGCUGAAAGGGAGAUGUUUAAAGAUCAAGCAAAUGUUGUUGGACAAUUCAGGCCCAAUAACAAUGCGCCUUAUGGAUAUACCUACAACUCAAGUUGGAGGAAUCAUCCAAAUUUCUCAUGGAAGGCCAGAGCAACUCAAUACCAACAGCCGGAUCCACCACCUCAACAAACUUCAAGUCUUGAUCAAGCAAUGGCUAAUCUCAGCAAGGUAGUGGGAGAUUUUGUUGGAAAGCAAGAAGCCACCAAUGCUCAAAUCUAUCAAAGAAUUGAUAGAGUAGAGAGUAUGUUGAAUAAUAUGAUGGAUGGAAUGCAAAAUGAUAUGAACCAAAAGUUUGAUAACAUCCAAUAUUCAAUUUCAAGGCUUACAAAUUUGAAUACACUGCAAGAAAAGGGAAGAUUUCCUUCUCAACCCCACCAAAACCCCAAAGGUGUCCAUGAAGUGGAAAGCUAAGAGGGAGAAUCAUCACAGAUGAAAGAUGUCAAAGCCUUGAUCACUCUAAGGAGUGGUAAAAAAAUUGAGCAGCCAACACCCAAGCCACAUGUUGAGAAAGAAGAAGAAAUAAAGAAAGGGAAGGAAAUGAAAGAUAAAGACAGUGAGGUCAGUGAAGAAAAGAAGGACUCUGAUUCAACAAUGAAUGCAAUUCCAGAGAAGGAACUUAUGAAGGAAGAAAUGCUGAAGAAAUCAACUUCUCCACCUUUUCCUCAAGCAUUACAUGGGAAAAAGGGGGUUAGAAAUGCAGCUGAAAUCCUUGAAGUAUUGAGACAAGUGAAAGUCAAUAUUCCACUGCUGGAUAUGAUUAAACAAGUUCCAACGUAUGCAAAAUUCCUAAAGGAUUUAUGUACUAUCAAAAGAGGGUUGACUGUAAACAAGAAAGCCUUAUUGACUGAGCAAGUAAGUGCAAUCUUACAAUGUAAGUCUCCAUUGAAGUACAAAGACCCGGGAAGUCCUACCAUUUUAGUCAUGAUUGGAGGAAAGAUAGUGGAAAAAGCCUUGUUAGAUUUGGGAGCAAGUGUGAAUUUGCUUCCAUAUUCCGUCUAUAAGCAAUUGGGACUUGGUGAGUUGAAGCUAAUAGCAAUCACUCUAUCUCUAGCAGAUAGAUCAGUAAAAAUUCCAAGGGGGGUAAUUGAGGAUGUCUUGGUUCAAGUGGAUAAUUUCUACUAUCCAGUAGAUUUUAUUGUUCUUGAUACAGAUCCUACUGUAAAGGAAGCUAAUUUAGUUCCUAUCAUCCUUGGAAGGCCAUUUCUUGCUACCUCAAAUGCAAUCAUCAACUGCAGGAAUGGGCUGAUGCAACUCACUUUUGGCAACAUGACACUGGAUCUCAAUAUUUUCUAUAUGUCUAAAAAGCAAAUCACUCCGGAAGAAGAAGAGGGUCCAGAAGAGCUGUGCAUUAUUGAUACUUUGGUGGAGGAGCACUGUAAUCAAAAUAUGCAAGACAAGUUGAAUGAAAGUCUUGUGAAUUUUGAGGAAGGUUUGUCUGAAUCUCCUACUGUGCUUGCUACUCUACAAAGUUGGAGAAAGAUAGAAGAGAUUCUACCUUUGUUCAAUGAAGAAGAAGAGGCAGCUGCUGAAAAAGAAAUUCCAAAAUUCAAUCUGAAGCCUCUACCUGUGGAGCUGAAAUAUACAUAUCUUGAAGAAAAUAAUCAAUGUCCUGUUGUAAUAUCUUCAUCUCUGACCAGUCAUCAGAAGAAUUGUUUAAUGGAAGUUCUCAAGAGGUGUAAGAGGGCAAUAGGAUGGCAAAUAUCCGACUUGAAAGGCAUUAGUCCUUUAGUUUGUACUCAUCAUAUAUAUAUGGAGGAGGAAGCAAAGCCAAUUCGUCAACUUCAAAGAAGGUUGAAUCCUCAUCUACAAGAGGUGGUGCGAGCUAAGGUGCUGAAGCUACUUCAGGCAGGAAUCAUUUACCCUAUAUCUGAUAGCCCUUGGGUGAGUCCUACUCAAGUGGUACCAAAGAAGUCAGGGAUCACAGUGGUUCCGAAUGAAAAAGGAGAAGAAGUUACUACACGCCUCACUUCAGGUUGGAGGGUGUGUAUUGAUUAUAGAAAGUUGAAUGCUGUAACCAGGAAGGAUCAUUUUCCAUUGCCAUUUAUUGACCAAGUGCUGGAGAGAGUCUCUGGACAUCCAUUCUAUUGUUUCUUGGAUGGGUAUUCAGGGUAUUUUCAGAUUGAAAUUGAUGUGGCAGAUCAGGAAAAGACCACUUUUACAUGUCCAUUUGGAACAUAUGCUUACAGGAGAAUGCCUUUUGGUUUAUGCAAUGCACCUGCUACAUUUCAAAGAUGUAUGUUGAGUAUUUUCAGUGAUAUGGUGGAACGAAUUAUGGAGGUUUUCAUGGAUGACAUCACUGUAUAUGGAGGUACAUUUGAGGAAUGCUUAGUUAAUUUGGAAGCAGUUCUUCACAGAUGCAUUGAAAAAGAUCUGGUGCUCAACUGGGAGAAAUGUCAUUUUAUGGUACGUCAAGGAAUUGUCCUUGGUCAUAUCAUCUCUAAAAGAGGCAUUGAAGUUGAUAAAGCAAAGGUGGAGCUUAUUGUCAAAUUACCAUCCCCAACAACUGUAAAAGGAGUAAGGCAGUUCCUUGGCCAUGCAGGGUUCUAUAGGAGAUUUAUAAAAAGGUUUUUCAAGUCUUUCAAAACCUCUUUGUGAGCUGUUAGCUAAGGAUGCUAAAUUUAUAUGGGAUGAAAGGUGUCAGAAUAGCUUUGAUCAACUGAAGAAAUUUUUAACAGCAACUCCAAUAGUGAGAGCCCCUAACUGGCAAUUACCUUUUGAACUGAUGUGUGAUGCCAGUGACUUUGCUAUAGGAGCUGUGCUUGGCCAAAGGGAAGAUGGGAAGCCCUAUGUGAUUUACUAUGCAAGUAAAACACUGAAUGAAGCUCAAAGGAACUACACAACUACAGAGAAAGAAUUGUUAGCUGUGGUAUUUGCUUUGGACAAAUUUCGUGCUUAUUUAGUGGGGUCUUUCAUCAUUGUCUUUACUGACCAUUCAGCCUUGAAGUAUUUAUUGACAAAGCAAGAUGCAAAAGCAAGGUUGAUUAGAUGGAUUCUUUUGUUACAAGAAUUCGAUCUUCAAAUCAAAGAUAAGAAAGGAGUGGAGAAUGUGGUAGCUGACCACCUUUCCAGGUUAGUUAUAGCACAUAAUUCCCAUCCCUUGCCUAUUAAUGAUGAUUUUCCUGAAGAAUCACUCAUGUUCUUAGUGAAAACUCCUUGGUAUGCUCAUAUUGCUAAUUAUUUAGUAACUGGUGAAAUUCCAAGUGAGUGGAAUGCACAGGACCGGAAGCACUUCUUUGCCAAAAUUCAUGCUNNNNNNNNNNNNNNNNNNNNNNNNNNNNNNNNNNNNNNNNNNNNNNNNNNNNNNNNNNNNNNNNNNNNNNNNNNNNNNNNNNNNNNNNNNNNNNNNNNNNCCCUAACUGGCAAUUACUUUUGAACUGAUGUGUGAUGCCAGUGACUUUGCUAUAGGAGCUGUGCUUGGCCAAAGGGAAGAUGGGAAGCCCUAUGUGAUUUACUAUGCAAGUAAAACACUGAAUGAAGCUCAAAGGAACUACACAACUACAGAGAAAGAAUUGUUAGCUGUGGUAUUUGCUUUGGACAAAUUUCGUGCUUAUUUAGUGGGGUCUUUCAUCAUUGUCUUUACUGACCAUUCAGCCUUGAAGUAUUUAUUGACAAAGCAAGAUGCAAAAGCAAGGUUGAUUAGAUGGAUUCUUUUGUUACAAGAAUUCGAUCUUCAAAUCAAAGAUAAGAAAGGAGUGGAGAAUGUGGUAGCUGACCACCUUUCCAGGUUAGUUAUAGCACAUAAUUCCCAUCCCUUGCCUAUUAAUGAUGAUUUUCCUGAAGAAUCACUCAUGUUCUUAGUGAAAACUCCUUGGUAUGCUCAUAUUGCUAAUUAUUUAGUAACUGGUGAAAUUCCAAGUGAGUGGAAUGCACAGGACCGGAAGCACUUCUUUGCCAAAAUUCAUGCUUAUUAUUGGGAAGAGCCCUUUCUUUUUAAGUAUUGUGCAGAUCAGAUCAUAAGGAAGUGUGUUCCUGAAGAUGAGCAGCAAGGGAUUCUAUCUCAUUGUCAUGAGAAUGCAUGUGGAGGCCACUUUGCCUCUCAGAAAACAGCUAUGAAGGUGUUGCAAUCAGGGUUUACUUGGCCAUCUCUUUUCAAAGAUGCCCACAUCAUGUGUAGAAGUUGUGACAGAUGCCAAAGGCUUGGAAAGCUAACAAAAAGAAAUCAAAUGCCUAUGAACCCCAUUCUAAUAGUUGAGCUAUUUGAUGUAUGGGGCAUUGACUUCAUGGGACCUUUCCCAAUGUCUUUUGGUAAUUCUUACAUCUUGGUGGGGGUGGAUUAUGUUUCUAAAUGGGUUGAGGCAAUCCCCUAUAAACAAAAUGAUCACAGGGUGGUUCUCAAGUUUCUUAAAGAGAACAUUUUCUCAAGAUUUGGGGUGCCCAAAGCCAUAAUCAGUGAUGGAGGUGCUCAUUUUUGCAACAAACCUUUUGAAGCUCUGUUAUCCAAGUAUGGAGUGAAGCAUAAGGUGGCUACACCUUAUCAUCCUCAGACUUCCGGGCAAGUUGAGCUAGCUAACAGGGAAAUAAAGAACAUAUUGAUGAAAGUGGUGAAUUCCAGUAGAAAAGAUUGGUCUAUUAGGCUUCAUGAUUCAUUGUGGGCAUAUAGAAUAGCUUAUAAGACUAUUCUUGGGAUGUCUCCUUAUCUUCUUGUCUAUGGCAAAGCAUGCCAUCUCCCUGUGGAAGUUGAAUACAAGGCUUGGUGGGCAAUAAAGAAGUUAAACAUGGAUUUGGUCAGAGCCGGAGAAAAGAGAUAUCUAGACCUUAAUGAGAUGGAGGAAUUAAGAAAUAAUGCUUAUAUCAAUUCCAAAGUUGCAAAACAGAGGAUGAAGAAGUGGCAUGAUCAACUCAUCUCCAACAAGGAAUUUCAGGAAGGGCAAAGAGUUUUACUGUAUGACACAAGACUCCAUAUCUUUCCUGGGAAGCUCAAGUCAAGGUGGAUAGACCCGUUCAUUAUUCACCGAGUAUAUUCCAAUGGAGUGGUGGAAUUAUUGAAUUCAAAUGGCAAGGAUAGCUUUAGAGUCAAUGGAUAUCGUCUCAAGCCAUUCAUGGAUCCAUUCAAACCAGAAAAGGAGGAAAUCAACCUCCUUGAGCCUCGAAAAGCCUAAGCAAAGAAGGGUUUGCUGGACGUGGUUUACCACAGUCCAAAAUUUUUGUAAAUUUUGUAAAUUUUCAAGUUUUUUUUCCAUACAUUUGAUCUUAGUUUUUGAUCUUAAAUCAUGUUUUUAGGUGUGUUUUAAUCUUUUUGAAUGAUCCCAGGUGGAAGAAAUUGCAAGGAAAUUGAAAGGAAAAGAAUCGGAUAAAAAACAGAGCAAAAACAGAGCAAAAAACAGAGCUCUGCGAGAUUUCGCAGCCUCUGCGAAAUCAGCACUAUGCUGCAAAACCAUUCCGCAACACUUUGGAGUUCUCUGCGAGAAUUUUCGCAGCUGCGAAGGCGAUUUUGGCACACGAGUGCCACUUUGCAGCACAGGAGCCCUCAUUUGGCAGCUGCGAAACGCAUUGCGAAGUGGUAAAGCCUGAUUUCGCACCAAAAGUCCCAUUCCGCAGGGUAUUUUGCAAUUGCGAAAGCGAUUUUGGCACACGUGUGCCACUUCGCAGCACAGUAACAUUAAUUUCGCAGCUGCGAAAUGCAUUGCGAAGUUGCUGCGAAAAUGACAUUUUGCUGCGAAAUUGGCAUUUUGCUGCGAAACUCAAACUGACCCUUAGUCUUCCCUUAUUCCUAUUUAUACCGGUCAUUUGAGUUGCGAAAAGGGUUUCAAAAUCAGAGCGCGCCAUUCUCGCAGACCGUCCAUCUCCUUCUUCAAGCCUCACCGCGCAAGCCUCCGGUCAUCUUCUCCGACCAUCCGUUCCGGCCAAACUUCGGUAAUCCGAAAUGGCGCGAACAAGAGGGGCUAAGUCUCCAUCUCCUUCGAGCCGCAAGAGAAGCUUGCGAAAGGAACCAGUUCCAGAUCCUAUCCCUGACCCUCCGCAGCCGAAAGCAAUUCCUCCUCCGGUGAAGCCCGCGCUGCCAAAGCCUCCGGUAAAGCCCGCGCCGCCAAAACCUCCGGCAAAACGAUACCUAACCAGGUCAGGGGGUCGGCCACUGCAAAAGAAACCCAGGGUGGAGAGCUUAGAACCCAUCGAUUUGACUGAGCAAUCUCCAGAGCCCUCGCCGGCUCCAACUCCAGUUCCCUCGCCAAUUCAGCCUCCGGUGCCAUCUCCGACGCCGCAAGCAAAAUCUCAGGAGACUCAAGCGCCACUUCCCGAGCCCCAAAUUCCAUCUGAAAUAGCUCCGGAAGAAGUAAUCAGGAGGCCGAUGCUGACCCAGCUCCCAAUUGAGGGAAAUUUGGAUUGUAGAACUCGGCCAUUCCACUCCGAGCUAGGCUUUGACAUAUCUACAUUCCAAUUGCAGCCGGAGCUUGCACAGUCAUUCAACCUUCUAAGAAGGUACCAUAUGGAGCAUCUGCUGACUCCGAGAGACUUUUUCUACCCAAGGGUGGCCAUGGAUUUCUAUCAAUCCAUGACAACCAACCAGGUCAGGGAUCCAACUUUAAUUCAUUUCACUAUUGAUGGGAGGCAUGGCAUAUUGGGAGCACGCCAUAUAGCUGAAGCCUUGCAAAUUCCCUAUGAGCCGACCCAAUUCGAUAAUUUUAGAGCUUGGACCAAUCCUACUGAGCUGGAGAUGGUGCGCACCCUAUCCAGAGGAGCUGCCAAUCGAUCAUAUCUGUUGAGGGGGGAGCUUCCUCCAAUCAUGUUUUUGAUUGAUGCAUUUUUGCGUCAUAACCUCUACCCAUUGCAGCAUUGGACUCAAAGAAGAGGAGUCCUCUUAGAAGCCCUGUACAAGAUGUCUGAAGGAUUUUUCUUUGGGCCUCAUCAUCUGAUUCUGGCAGCCCUUCUCUAUUUCGAAGAGAAGGUACACAAAAAGAAGCUUCAGAGAGCUGAUUGCAUUCCCCUCCUCAUUCCAAGGCUGCUAUGCCAAAUUCUGGAGCACUUGGGGUAUCCUUCUGAACCUCAAUUGGAGCGCAAACGCAUUUGCCGUGAGCUUUUCACUCUUAACAAAUGGAACAACAUGACAGCUUAUCGAGUUGACCAGCCUGAGCGCCCACAGCCAGCUGUAAGGAGAGCAUCCCCACGACACAUACCUGAGGGUAUAACAGUUGCUGCUCCUGCCAUUUGCAGAGCUCCACCAGCUGCUCCAGCUUCAUCUCAGCCAUCCACUUCAGCUGAGCCGAGGAUGGCCAUACCCAUUUCUGAAUAUCGAGAGUUGUGCCGUGCAUUGCAGACCCUCACAGCUUCUCAGAGCAGUCUUGCUCAAGAGAUGGCAGCCAUUAGAGCAUGCCAAGAGCAGAUGUUGGCCACUCAGGCUCAACAAGCUGCCAUCUUAAGGCAGCUCCAGCUUCAUUUCAACCUGCCACCAGCUGUUGAGCCCUCCACUUCUACUCCAGCAGAGCCACACUCUCAUCCCUCAGAGCCUCAAGCCCCAGCUGAAGCACCAACUGAAGAGGCAGAUCCAUCUGCCUAGCCCCAGCACCACCCACUCAUCAGAUCAUUAUAUAUAUAUCUACUAUCUUUGUUUUAUGUAUUUCGUUUUUUAGUUUGAAAGAAAUCCCAUUAUUUUGGUAUUAUAUUUGGGAUUGCUUGUAUUACUUUUCUUUUGCAUUGUACUUAAAUGGAUUCAAAGUAAUACAAGUUUAAUAUUUCUUGUUAACAGUUAGCAUUAAGUUAUCCUUAUUUCCUUUUCUCACAUAUUCUAUUCUUUUUGAAACAUGUGGUUUCUCCAAUUAGUAUGCGAAUUUGAUAUCACACAGGAGGUACCACUUCCUCCCUUUAAUUACAGUCACUCAUAUCACAUUGAGGACAAUGCUCAGUUCGGUUGGGGGGAAUGAGGAAGGAAGUUAUGCUAAAUUAAAGGAAGUAUGCUAAGCCUUUUUAGUAAUGCAAUUAUUUUGGUAAAUUAGUUGUAGUUUUUGUUUUUUACUCUUUUUACUCUAUUCUCCAUGAAUCUUGAGGAAAAAUUUUCAAAUUAAAACAGGAAAAAUUGAACUGUUGUUUUUCACUUGACUUAGAGUAUGGAUUAUGCUCACUAAAGUGGUUCAAUUGUUGAAGCUUCUAUUGAAAUUGAAUUUAGUUCUUCCACUUUAAGCUAUUCACACACUGUGCACAUUAGAUUCCGAUUAUAAGAUGAAAAACUAUUUCCCUCUUGACUUAGGAUAAUUUUGGGACUUGGUAUAUUUGACCUCAUUUGAUAAAAAUUGAAACACCCUGCAAAAGGCCAAUGAGCCUUUGAAAUAAAGAAAGUUGUUUGCUUGCCUUAAAACCCGAGCAAGGUCUGAGAGGUAUAUGGUGAAAAUCUUUGAAGCCUGGUGCCCUAAGCCUUAAUUGGUUGGGAGUCACCGACCUCAAUGCUCGUUACAAGGGUGAAUAGGUAGAGUAGCAUAUGGUAGGUGCUUGGGUAUUAAAAAUUCAUUCUCAAAAGUCCGGGGAAAAAUCCGAGGAGUUAGUGGUUGAAAGAUCCUUAAAGCUUGGUGCCCUAAACCUUAAUUGGUUGGGAGUCAUCGAUGGACCCCCAUUACAUGGACAAUACAGAAAGAGUACCCCAUAAGUUCUUUGUUAAAAAAAAAAAAAAAAAAAAAAAAGUGUGUUCUUUCUUUAUUGAUUUUGGUCAGUUUGCUAAGUGUUGAAAAGAGAUAGGUUGGGGGGAGAGAUUAGUUUAGCAUAUUAUUCUCGGAAGCUAAGGAACCAAUACACAUAGAUUUUUGAGGAAGAAUAAAGUUUGGUUCUUUGAAAGUGGAAAUGAUUUUAAAACUUCAGUUUGCAUAAUGCAUUCCCUUGUUUGACAGUGUUUAGCAUAGUUUGUUAUAACUCUUGUUGAAAUUUGCUUUUAUAUUUCUUUAAGGUUUCAUGAGAGAAUUAGAUCAUCAUGCCACUUGAGAAUUGUUUUUGAUCAGCAUGAUGUUGUAAAUUAUAGUUUAAUUUGUUGUUUAUUUUCAUUUUUCUCUCCUAUAUUGCUAAGGGACUAGCAAUAUGUCGGUUGGGGGGAGUGAUUACUACUCAAAAAGUGCUAUUUGAUAGCUUAUAAUUAAUCCUUUUAAACACUUUUGAGUAGUAGUUUUGGCCUUUUAACUCAAUUGGCAUGUUAAGGACCCUUGAAAACAAUUUUAAUCACUUUGUGUAAGUUUUGGUGUUUUUGUUAGUAUUUUGAUCACCAAAGCAAUUCAAGAUUGAGGAGAAUUUUGAGGAAUCUUGGGCAAAGCUUGGAAGUCAUUUGCCAAGAGUAAAUCCGAAGUGCAAGGAGAAAAAGUAAAGAGAAUCUGCCAUGAAGCAUAUUCUUGAUGACAGUCGUGGCAGCCACUUUUGGAGCACUUUCUGAAGUCCAAUUGAUGCAUGCUAUAUACCAUUUCAAAGCUCAGGAAGUCAAUAAUCUAAUGCUUCAAACGGUGCGCAAUUUGGAGUUGAAACGAAGAAGUUGCAGCCAUUGCAAGCCAAUCACUCCAAGCUGAAGGAAGCAUUUUCCAAAGUGUUGCGAAAUCACCCUUUUGUUGCGAAGUGAUUUCGCAGCAUUUUUGUACAGUAUGAUGUAUUUCCUCCUGAAGUUGCCCGAUAUAUGCCGCAAGCUGGAAGCUGAGAGCAUCAAGGUGGAAGCCAACUUCGCAGCCCUGCGAAGAUAGCAUGUUGUUGCGAAAUGAUUUCGCAGCCCUUCUUGAGUGUCUGCGAAAUCUCACAGACACCAUUUUCUCUUGCGGAAUGGUUCCUGGAGCAUCCCGAUAUUUGCUAUCGACAUUGGGAGAUAUUUUACAUCAGAUUUUUGUUGUCUAAAUCCCAAAAUACUCCUUGUAAGCCACCAAUUACAAGAUUCCUUAGCUUUUAAGUUAGUAAAAAGAGAAAAUAUCUAUGUAAUAAUUAGUUUUAUAUUAUGUUCAUAUAAAUACCUCUCGGGAGCCUGUUCUCAGAGAGAGCCUUUUGUAAAGUUUUGGGUAAGCAAGUAAAGUUCAGUUCUUUGUAUUACCUUACCUUCUCACUUUGUAUAUUUUAUUUUCUUACUAAGUUAUGAACUCUCUGAGGAGUUUUCCCCAGAGAAUGAGUAACUAAACCUCUAAUUCCUUGGAGCUAAGGUUGCCGGGGAAGGUUCCAAGUGCAAGAAUGCAAAGCUUUGUGGUUUUAGCUAGUAAUGAAGAGGAAGUGAAAUCCUUUAGUGAUUUCUAUGUUUUUAGUUAACUUAAAACACCUUAGAGUCAUCUGGGCCAACACUUGGUAAGGCAAGUGAUUUCCAACCAUGGAAAUGCACUAGUUUACCCCUUACGAGCCUCUGGAAGGUGACUUUAGGGUAGGAUUUUCUAGAAUAGCCAACACUUGGUAAGCUUUUGGACUCCAAGGAGACAUCCAUUAGUUAUCUCUUGCGAGCUUUUGAAGGGAAGUCCAAGGUUAAAGAUCAUCUUGAAUGGUAAGUGCUCGUGAGAGGCAUGAACCAUUGCAAGUUGUAUCAAUGAGAGAAUUAAAGUUGAAAUCCAAUUAAAGGAUGUAUCUGUACAACACCGGUUAGAGAAUUGACUAUAUGUUGAAUCUCUAACGCGAAGAAAGGAACCAUCUGACCGAAGCUAUGUCUUUUGCAUGAGGAACCACCCCAGUGAACCUAACUCUCCAAGGAAUGCUUUUCUUCCUAAGUUAUUCCGAGUACUUGUUAUGUUAGUUAGUUUAAAUCUUUACCAAUCAAAGUUUGUGUUUUAUUUCUUAAGCUAACCUUGAAAUGAAACAAGACCAAUUCACUUGGAAUUGGUAUCAUUGAUAGCUUGCUAAUCCUUCCCAGUGAACGAUCCUAGAGUCGCUAUACUAUAGUAACUUUUUCUUUGCUACCCUAGUAUAUGGUGUUAUAGGUUAUAAAUUUUGUUGAUUACUCCCUCUAUCAAGAAGCACCAGCUAGACACGAAUCAGCUGAGACACCAAUUGGGCACGAAUCAACAACUAACAACCUAUUAACUACUUAACAACUCUAACUAACAUCCAACCUCAAGCACAUAGGGUGAGAAAGAACUAUGAGCUUGCUCUAGAGAUGAAGGAAAUGCUGAGUGGAGAGAGCUUUGGUUAAGAUAUCAACAGCUUGGUCUCCAAAUGGAAGAAAUCAAACAUCAAAAGUUUUCUACGGGACUCAUUCUUAAACAAAAUGAUAAUUAAUUUCCACAUGUUUAGCCCGAGAAUGAAGGACAAGAAUUACAGCCAAAUAACAUGAACUAAAACAGGGGAACAAAGGGCUCUUUAAGAAAGGAUUGAAUCUAAGUGAGUACGACCGUUGCAUUGGCCAAGCCCCUAUACUCGGACUCGGUAUAAGAGUGUGAACCACCUUUUGUUUAGAAGCUGACUAAGAGACCAGAUUACCACAAAAAAAAAACAAAAAAAAAAAACAAAACACAGUAGCCACUAGUGCUACGUCUAUCAUUAGGGCAAGAUACCCAAUCGACAUUUGUAUAAGCAACAAGAUUGAGUGAGGAAGAUGGUUGGAAAAAAAAAACCCAUAAAACAACAAACCUUUGAGAUAACAAAUAACAUGCUUCAUAUCUUGAAAAUGAGUAGAGGUUGGAGCAUGCAUAAAUUGGUAAAUCUUAUUAACAGUAUAAGGAGUGUUUGGUCUAGUGAUUUUGCAAUACUGAAGGGCACCUACAAGACUCUAAUAGAAAGUGGGAUCCUCUAAUUUGGUACCAUCAACUAUGAAUAAAACAAGACCAGUAGCCAUUAAAGAAGCAACAAGCUUUGAUUCCAACAAAUCAACAUGCUGAAGAAGAUCACAAAUGUAUCUAUCUCGGCUUAAAUGCAAAGAAAAUCCAAAAUUGAGCACCUCUAUUCUAAGAAAGAAAUUGAGAGGACCAGAUUCUUGAGAGCAAAGCAAGAGUUUAAGGAAGAUAUAAGUUGUUCAAUGAGCAAGGAAUUUGAAUUAGUGACAAUAAUAUCAUCGAUAUAAACUAAGACAACAAGCAUGAUAGAAUUGUUAUGGUAACCAAACAUUGAUGUAUCUACUUAAGAUAUGGAAAAACCCCAUUUAAAUAAUGCAGAAUUCAGUUUCGUGAACCAAGCCCAUGGAGUUUGCUUCAAGCCAUACAAGGCCUUGGUAAGCUUACAAACAAAAUUGGGCUUAGAAGGAUCCACAAAACCCGGGGGUUGUAUCUAAAAACUUGCUCAAAUAAAUCACCAUUAUGAACAUCAAGUUGUUGGAUAGACCAAUUUCUACUCAAUGCCAAAGAGAGAACCACACUAAAGGUUUAACCACAAAACUAAAGGUUUCAAAGAAAUCAAAACUGUGAGUUUGAUGGAAUCCUUUCACCACUAAAUGUGCCUUAUAACAAUCAAUAGUUCCCUUAGGUUUAAACUUCAAUUUAUAAACCCACUAACAUCCAAUGGUAUUCUGAUUAGACGGAGGAGGAACCAUGACGUAUGUUUUAUUUUUCAUAAGAGCUUCAAAUUCAAGAUGCAUAGCCUAUUGCCAUUCAGGAACUUUAGCAGUUUCCUUAAAGGAAUCUAGUUCACAAAGUGGAGGAAAAAUAGUCUUAGUAGGAGACAAAUAUAACUUGAGUUCGAAAAUGCCAUUUUUGGCACGUAUUAUCAUGAGAUGACAAGGAGUAAGAACAUAAGAGGAAAGAGGUUGGGUUGUUGGAAUUGCUGUAACCUUAGAAAAGGAAAUUGACACACUAGAAUUAGAUAUUGGAACCAACUUUGAAGGUGGACAUAAUGGGGGAGGUAAGAGGGAAGGUAUUGGAGAUGAUGGUACUACCAAGGGAAUGACACAAUGAGAGGGGGAAACAGAAUAAGAAGUUUGAACUAUGGAAGACUUAGCAAAUCGGAAAUCUAGUUCAUAAAAAAUAACAUGUCGUGAUAUAUGUAUUUUAUGAUUGGACAUGUUUAAAUAAAGAUAUCCUUUAUGCUUAGAACUAUAGCCAAUAUUUUAACGGAUUGAUAUGCAAGUUUAUGACAAUUAAAAUGAUGUAGAAAAGGAUAACAAAUGUAGCCAUAGACAUGAAGAAAAUAAUAAUUUGGUAGACAAUGGUAAAGAGUCUUAUACGGAUCGAGAAGAGAUAUUCAACAUAGAGGUAGGAAGUCUAUUAAUCAAAUAUAAGGUAGAUUGGAAAACAAAAGGUCAAUAUUUAAGUGGAAUAGAAGCACGAGCAAGCAAAGAAAGACCUAUUUCAACCACAUGUCUAUGUUUUCUCUCCACAUGACCAUUUUGUUGAAAAGUAGAUGGACAAGAUAUUCUAUGCAGAAUCCUAAAUUUACAUAAAGUAUCAAUAAAGGCUUGAAACUCCCCUCCCUAAUCAGUUUGAAGCACUCUUAACUUUAGUGUCAAAUUGAGUCUCAGUUAUCACUUUAAAUUGCAAAAAAACAGAGAUAGCUUGAUUUUUAAAAGCUAGUAGAUACAACCCCAAGAAAAUCUUGUAUGGUCAAUUGGAAAAAAGUACAAAGUAUCUUGCAUCAUUAGCACCAACAAUAACGGUAGGACCCCAUAGAUCAAAAUGUAUAAGAGCAAAAGGCUAAGAGACUCUGGAUUUAGACAAAGUAAAAGGUAAGUGAUGACUCUUUGCCAUUUGACAAGGUUCACAAAUACCUAUCCAAUGUUCUGAGGGCAUACUACAAUCACUCAAAACUUUAUUCACUAUUUUACGUGCAAGAUGGCCUAAUUAAAAUGUCAUAGAGCUACCUUAUUGGGAAGUUGUAAUGCAAAUAACAUACACGGGACCUCAAUUGCCAAGCUUGUUCUUCUAACAAUUUUAUUACCUUUAGAAUCUAUAUUUUUUUUACCAGAAACUGAAGAUGACAAUUUGUAUAAACCAUGGUUAAGGUUGCCUUGGAGAAGAGCCUUCUUUGAAGCUUGAUCCUUCAUCACAAAUCCAUUAGUAAAGAAUUCCAUAGUAACAUUAUUGUUAGUACACAACCUAUUCACACUUAUCAAAUUGGUUGUAAGUUGUGGAACAUGUAGAAUAUUCUUUAGAUUUAAAGACUGAGAAACUGACAAAAUAGUAGAGUAUCCAAUAUUUGAGAUAUUUAAGCAACUACAGUUUCCAACGACAACUUUGUCCAAACCAGCAAAUGGAGUAUGUGCAUUCAAGUUCUUGAAAUUUAAAGUUAGGUGAUAUGUAGCUCUAGUAUCCAUGUACCAACUUCCAUCUGCAAUAGUGGCCAGAGUUGCAAUCAUUGCAGCAAGAUGAGGUUACUCAAUUCUUAGGGUUCUUUUUCCUCAUUGGUUUUUGACUCGGAUGAGUUAACUUAGUUCCUAGAGCUCUUCCUCAAUGACAAACAAUUUUGAUUAGAGUGUGGCAAGGAGUUCAAUGAGCAAGCUGGUGAUUGAUCAAGGCCUCACUAGUGAUGAGGACGUCGGUGAUAGCAACAAUCUAGUUGGAGAAACGAUUUUUUCCAACACCCUCAAACACCGCAAAAAUGAUCAUAUCGUCAUCAUGAUCUUAGAUAAGAGAAACUUAAAGUUUUGUUUAUUCCAAUUUCAAAUUGAAAACAAAAUUGUAGAGCACUAGAUACAAAAUAAAAAAAAAAUAAAAGAACGAAAAAUCACUAUAGAAACCUUAGAAAACACACUAGGAAGAAAAAUCAUAGACAAACUCACAGAAGAAUUUUAUGGCUUUAGGAGUUGGAGCCGGAGUUGGAGAAGAGUCUUAAUGGACAUUGAGGAAGGACAAGAAGAGGUGUUCAACUAUAAUUUAUGUAGGCUAUAUUGUAAAGGUUGGCUUUAAAAUGUAUCUAGUAGCGACCUAAUUAGGGUUCAAAGUAUCGGCCAAGUCUGAUACGACUCGGCCGAGUCAUAUCUGUCUCGACACUUGUCGCAACGAGACCGAUACCAGAUACAAUAUAAUGCAUGAACUCGACUGGGAAUCGGUUAGACUUUGCUAAGUUUUCGAGUUAACUCGGUUGACUCGGUUAGGUUAUAAAGAAUUUUCAAAUUUUUCAUAAAAUUGAAAAUAAUAAUAAUAAUAAAUCAGAGAUUGCCCUUUCAAAAGCAAACACCUAUUUUAAAAUUUUAAACCAUCAAUGAGAAGAUCAAAGAAGACCAAGAAGAAAAAACCUAACCUGUGACUCGUUCGGAAAUAAGUGGAGAAACCACCAAAGGAUGAGGGCAUAAUUUAGGAUUUACUUACUUGAUUUUCCUCAAAAUCGAGCAUUACCGAAGGGUGGAGCUUUGGUGUCGGCGAUGGUGACUCAUCAAGUGGAUUGAAUCUUUCACCGGGGACAUCAACAAGACAACCCCCUCAUAGUCAGAUUGCUCCCCCUCCCGUGUUAGGUCUUGCACGGUUGCAAAUUUGCGAUUGUAGGUGGUAUCGUCUAUUUUGGGUCUUGACAGUAAUGAUGACGUGCGAGGGUGGGAGAUUGGGAGCUUAAAUUAGUAAAGUAAAAAAUUGCAUUUUAUAUGGAUUUACAUGGAGAAUUGAGUCCCUGAUUUACAUGGAAAAUACCUUUCAUAUACACACUUUAAUAUGAUUUAAUAGUAACAUAUUAGGAGAAUUGAGUACCCGAUUUGCUAAAGUAAAAUGAUAUGAAAGGUAUAGAUGAAGUUUAAUGAUAAAUUAAAGUGUUUAUAUAGCAAAGUGAAAAUUAAAUCCUCAAUUUUUAAUAUUAUCACAAAAUAACUUUGAGCUAAAUGUGAAAAAAAAAUGGUUUUAUUAAAAUUUUCACCUUAUUUAAUUAUAUCUAUUUUAUUUUUUGAUUUAUAUAAUAUUUUUAUAAUUUUUUGAAAAUUUUAAUUAUCUUAUUUUACGUAUCGUCCAAUACCGAACCGAAACACUGAAACCAAUAUGCCUCGUGAUCCUCCGAGUCAAUGAUCGAUACCACGACUUUGAACCAUGGACCCAAUGGAAGUGGAGUCUAUAGGAACAUCUAUGGUAACGAUCCAAAAAUUAUUGCAGGCAUAAGAGAAUAUAUAAUAGCACUUUCAACAGUAAUCAUGACUAUGUAUCUUUCCUGGAAAUUUCCCACCAAUCCCAAUCCCAACCCCUUUAGAUGCAUGUGGUUGGAAUAUGCAUGAAGCUAUAUAUUACGUGGUUGGGAUAUGAAUGAGGCUAUAUACUAUUUUUAGUUGUGGAUUUUCUUAGCCCCUACUAAAACUAUGUCGCCAUUUCCUAUUCUUCUUGUAAUGUCAAGUUGGAAAGUUAAAUUUAAUUUAAAAACUUUCUAAAUAUUAAAUUUAGAGUUAGUUUCUAAAUGUUAAGGAGAACAUUUUAUUUUGAAUGAUUAUUUAGUUUUUGUAUUUGAGUAUUCAAGUCCUGAAAGGUCUCUAUAUUUCAUUAUUAAGAUUUUCUAUUUAGACAAAUGUGAGUAUAUUUAUAAACAAAAAAUUAUAUAAUAUAUACAUUUUUUAUAAAAAAAAAAAGCAAUAAAAUACAAUAAAAUUUUAAUUCUCUCCUAUUUUUAUCUUUUUUAUAAGUGUGUGUUUAUCUUUCAUCUAGAUAACUCACACAAUACUAACACAAUGAGAGUAAAAGGAGAAGGGCAAUAAAGAGUUGGGGCCGGAGAUCAUUGGAGGAACGGGUCAACUGUAGGCCGGUUGUCAAUGGGCUCAUAUAAGUAACAAAAAUUGGAAAUGGUUUCUAUAUCUUAGUGUCGUGUCUAGAAGACGACAAUCUACCUGUCAGUGUGCAGCAGAAGAGAAAGCGUGAUAUCUACUUAGAGUCAAAACAAAGGGAACCAGCUCGCAAUUCCUCCGAUACAUCAUUACCGACGUCAUAGCUCUAUUCCCCCAAUUCGUCACUACCAACGUCAUUCUAUCUCCAUUACGCAUUAUUUAAAGAGUCCCCAUGCAGAAGCUGUUCGAAACACAAGUCAGCUUUGACACAACCCCACUUCAUUGUGAUAACCUAUCCGGCACAGGUCCCUGUCCAAAGACCCAUCUUACUCUUUACAUUGUGGCCACUGAUUUGGUAUCUAAUCUCAGGCAAAAUUCACUGGUUUGAUGAAGGUUAUAGAACAAAACUUGUGUUAUUCUUAUCUUUGGUUUUGAUGAACUUUAAAGCAUUUAAAAAGAUUCAACUGGUAAGAAGUAUUUUUGCCUUGGGAAGAUGUUGGUUAUGGAUUAAAAGCAAAAAAGACCCUUGUACAUAUUUUUGGGUACCUGUCAAGCAAAUUAAUGCACAUCCGAACAUCACAACUGUUGUCUCUUAAAUUCUUCCAAUUGACCUGCUUUCGUCUUAUUGAGCGUCUGGGUUACUUGAUAAUGCAAAAACUCAUACAGUUAUUUCGAUAAAUUAAGAGCCUCGGGCAUCAAGGAAAAUCUAUUAUUACUUAAUCGAUAAAUUAAUAAUUUAUUAAUUUAAUUGCUUAUUAAUGAGAUCUCUUGAAUAAUUCUAUUAUGGAACAAGACACCAUAACAAUAUUAAAUAAAUUUUUGUCAUAGUAUGAGAAUACCACACUAGAUGUAAUAUGAGAAUGUCAUAUUUAAUUAGGGCCUUGGCUUAAAAUAAGUAAAUAAAUAAUUAAUAAUUAAAAUAUAAAUACUAGACUCACAUUUUAAACAAACACUUCUAAACUCUCAGACUCUACAAAGAACAUACACAAAGAAAUCUAGGUUCCAGAUUUGAGUGAAGAGAAAGAGAAUUUGAUUUUUUUUGUUCUUUUGUGAAAAUUUCAUGGUAAGUGAUACUUCUUAAAGUUUUCUUUUUUUUUUUUUAUAGUUUUUCUUCUUAGAAACUUUAAUUUCCUAAUAAGAUUAAAAAAGAAUUAAUGAAAACAAGAAAUUAAGAAAAUAAAUUGAAAGUAGUUAAAUCUAGAAUGAUAGAAUAAUAAUAAUAAUAAUAAUAAAAACAAUAGAAAGUUUGAUGUGUUAUUGCCGAAACCUAGAGGAAAAUUCUAUAUGAAAUAGUGGAGUUUAUGUUUUUUUUUUAAUAUAUAUAUAUAUAUAUAUAUAGGAUUUUUGGGAGAAAUAGGUAUCCAUGUAAAUAGAAAUUCUUAUGUGUAGGAGAUAAUAAUUGUAUUAAAAAAAAAUUAAUAGACUAAAACCUGGAGAUUGGUAUUCAUACAGUAAGAUUCCAAGUAUAUAGAAAGUAGAAUUACAUGGAACCUAAAAUUUGGUGCACAAUGUGAUUCUUUAUUUAAAACAAAUAGAAUUUAGUGCAUAGUAGGAUUCCUUGUUCAAAUGAAAUAGAAUUUGUUGGGAGAUACAUGGACUAAUAUUAAUUGUGAAGUUAAGAUGUAUUGUGUAUUGGUGUGAUACUGGAAGUGCAUGAGACAAACUUUUGGAGUGUUGGUAUAGGAAAUAAAGUUUUUUUAAAAAAAACUAAUCUAAUAUAAAAAUAUUGGAGGCCUCGAAUUUUAUUAUGUUAGGAUUCCAUAAUGAAUUAAAUUAAAUCAAAUUAAAUUAAUGUAAUUUAGAUUAGAUUAAUUAUAAGUGAGGGAAUUGAAAAGUUCAAGACAAUAAUUUCAAGACAAUUAAGAAAUGGAAAUUUGAUGUUUUUCCUAGAUAAAUGAAUAAUUUAUAUAUGUGUUACAAAACUAUACAUAUUUAGAAUAUAAUUAUUAUUAGAACAUUUGUUUAAAGAACCCUUAGAAUUUCUCAGGUAAUUCUUAGGAAAUUCUACUGCUUUAAUAUUUGGAGUUUGAGUCCAAUUAAGGGGACUAACUAAAUUUUUUUUUUUAUUUUAUAAAUAGUCAAAUAUAAUUUUCUUUUGAAAGUUUUAAGAAAUUGGAAAAUAAUUUUGUUAUAUUGUAUAUGUUUGCUUACACGUGUGAUAUGAAUUUUUUUGUUUAAAAGAAAAAAAAAAUUAGGACUAGUAAUCUAAUCCUUGUUAAUAAAGGAAAGUGUUUUGACUUUCAUUACCUUUGGUGAAGGUAAUGAUAAUUUGUAAACCCAAUCAUUAGAUUUGUCCUGGCUCCGCCCACCAUCAUGUAAGGAACACAUGAGGUUAGCUAUUUCUAUUAGUCUCAUUACAAUGGGCACCUCUCUAAGUCCAAAUUUUGAUGGGCAUUUUCUGUAAAAAGUUAGAAUUGUUCAUUUAAUAUGUUUGCAAAAUAAUGUUAUGCUUAAAUUAUUUUAAAAAUGACACAUGUAAUAUUAGUUGUUUUGUUGUGUUUAAAAGCAUGCUAUAAAGAUUCCUUAUUUCAUUUUUGGAAACACGCAUACUUGAUUUUCAUACCCCUCAUCGGACUUUAAACUCACUCCUUUUACUAAAAUGUUUUUAGAUAUACAUCUAAUUCUAGCAAUGAGUGAUUCGAGUAAGAGGGUUUUUCAUAGAUCCAUUUAGUUCUUAGUUUUAAGUUUAAUGUCAUAAUAACAUUUUGUUAUUAUAGUUUAAUUUAUCAUUACUAUUUUAGAUAAUAUGUUAUAUUUGAAUUAUAGAUUUCGUGCGAAAGAAUAAUUUUUUAUUAUUUCUUUGAAGAUAUAUGAUCAUUUUGAAAGUUUGCUUCUAAAAUGACCUUGGUGUUUAGCUUACGGGUCAGUAUCGUUAUACUAGACCUUCUAUUUGUAUUAUGAAACUACAUAGAUUUUUCCAUAAUAUAUUAUAUUAUAAAUUUAUCAAAUUAUUAGUUUAGCAUGAUGGCCCUAGGUUCAUAUUGAUUAAAAAAUUAUUUAAUUGAGGUUCUCUAUUAAUUAAAUAUUAAUUUAAUUGUCAGAUACUCUUAUUAUUAUUAUUUUUUAUAAAAUAUUCAAAAAUAUUCUUUGUUAUAUCUUUAACUUAAAAAUAUUUUAAAAAAAACAAGAAUAAAAAAACAUCACCAAACAAGCCCUUAUUUAUUUGUUUGUUUUUUAUGUUUUGUUUGCUAUUGUGGUUUUGUUUAGUUGUCAAGAAGUGUGAGACAGUUGAAGAAAUUGAAGUUUUUUUUUUAUAUAUAUAUUUUUUUAAUAGUAUAGGCAAAAAUUCCAAAGGUUUGAAUUGCUUCAAUUUGUUUGUUUGACUUAUGAGAAAAGGUGGGACAAAUACUUCAAUGAGUUUAUAAUCAUCAGUAGUUAACUUACUUCUCUAUCGAAAUGGUUUAAUCAUUCACACUUAAAUUAAAAGCUGGAUUAUCAAAUCCAUUUCCCUUCAUGGAAACUAGUAACUUGAUCCAUCUACUGGUCAUUUAUGGCUUGAGGUCUUGUGCCAUGCACUCUUAAGUUGAUUUCUAGCUAGAAGUCGUAGUGGUAGGGUAUUCAGGAAUCCUUGUCAUAAAAUGUUGUAAAAUUUAUUUUGUGCAAAUUGUUAAGCUACAACUCAAACCAAGGAGUUAUAUACCAUCUAGAUUGCUUGGAUGAAGAAUAUAGACCAAAUCUAUGUAUGUAUGAUAGUUGUUAAUAGGUAGCAAUAGUGGAGUUAAGCUUCAUAGGAUACUGUUUACUGAUAAAGUUUACAUCUUAUAUAGGAUGGAACGAGUUUUUGAACUUUUGUUAACAUAGAAAAACUAAUUGGGUUAGAAUUCUGGCAUAGGUUUUUGCUAUGGUGAAUCAAACAUUCGGGGGACAUCUACCUAUGACACUCCCAAGACAACUAAUUAGUUCUUCACUAGAAUGAGAUGAUCGAUCUCUAUUUGAGCAAUUGGUUAGAUUAAUCCGAUAACUUUUUUUUUAAUUCUCCCAAUAAGAAAACCUUUCUUAAUUAUUCCAACAUGAGAAAUUUUUUUUCUACCUAUGGUUUUUUCAAUGACUAAAUAUAUUUAUUCCUUAGUAUCUAGUACUUUAAGAAAAACAAAAGUUAAAUUGAUUUUAUCAAAAUCUAAAACUUAAUUAAGUCAGAUAAUUAAAAUAUAAUUAAUUGAAAGUUAUCUUAAGCACAUUAAAUUUUACCUCUUACCACCUAAAAUGAUUUCAAAUUUUAUAGUUGUGAUAGAUCCAAGUUGUCCGAAAAGGUCUAUAGAAUAUGCAUUCUUUUACUUAUAAACAAUGUCUUAAAUAGUCGAGGUAGAGUUAUAUAGGGUCAUGGAUUUCUUAUUUUAUUCGAUGUGGGAAAUCAUAAUACACACUUAUCUCCUGUGAAGAGGGACCGUAACCAGGUUGGCUCAUAUAAAAUAACUAAAUUGGAAAUUGGUCUCUAGAUCUUAACUUUGGGUCGCGUCUAGAGGACGACAAACUACCGGUCAGUGUACAGCAGAAGAGAAAGUGAGACAGGAUACUUAUACAUCUCUUGAAAUUAAUUAGUCUUUGAGUCAAAACAAAGAGGAAGCAGCUCACAAUUCCUCCAAAACAUCAUUGCAAACGUCAUAGCUCUGUUUCCCCAAAUUCGUCAUUACAAACGUCAUUCCAUACUCUGCCUUCCUUAUUUAAAGAGUCCCAUGCAGAUGCAGAUGCAGUUCGAUACACAAGUCAGAUUUGAUCAUCCUCUACAUAGACCCAACCGAAGUAUCUCCACUUCAUCUUCUUCCCCUACAAUGACACAACCCCACUUCAUUGUGAUAACCUAUCCCGCACAAGGCCACAUCAACCCUUCUCUCCAACUGGCUAAGCGCCUCAUACGUGCUGGUGCCCAUGUCACAUUCGUCACUAGCACCUAUGCCAGUGAGCGCAUGACCAAAACCCCCACCAUGGAUGGUUUAAAAUUUGUCACAUUCCCGGACGGCUGCGACAGUGGCCUCAAGCAAAGCGAUGCCCUCCAAGGCUUCAUGUCUGAGCUUGAGCGUCUUGGCUCCCAAGCUCUUACCGACCUCCUCAUAGCCAGCGCUAAUGAAGGUCGUCCCGUUACUUGCAUAAUCUACGGCAUCCUGAUUCCUUGGGUAGCAGAGGUGGCGCAUAGUCUUCACAUCCCCUCCGCACUUUUUUGGAGUCAACCUGUCUCUGUUUUUAAUAUCUAUUAUUAUUAUUUUUGUGGCUAUGGAGAGGUCAUUCGCAAGAAAGUCAGUGACUCCUCGCCUUCCAUUGAAUUACCAGGACUGCCCUUGCUCGGUAGCCGUGACAUUCCCUGUUUCCUACUCCCCUCAAAUGCAAAUGAAUACAACUUUGUCCUUUCAGCGUUUCAGAAGCACGUAGAGAUGCUCCACCGUGACACCAACCCAACGGUACUGAUAAACACUUUCGAUGCAUUGGAACCAGAGGCCCUAAGGGCCGUCAGUAAGUUUAAGUCGAUUGGAGUUGGACCCUUGUUUCCAACCGCUUUCUUGGGUGGAAAAGAUCCAUCCGAUACUUCAUUUGGAGGUGAUCUGUUCCGUCGUUCAAAGGAUUAUAUUGAAUGGCUGAACUCAAAGCCUGAAUCUUCUGUCAUUUAUGUGUCAUUUGGAAGCCUCGCGGUGUUAUCGAAGCAACAGUCAGAGGAGAUUGCUCGUGGAUUGCUGGACAGUGGCCGGCCUUUCCUGUGGGUCAUAAGAGCCAAGGAGAAGGGAGAAGAGGAGAAAGAAGAAGAUAAACUAAGUUGCUACGCAGAAUUAGAACAACAAGGUAUGAUAGUACCAUGGUGUUCUCAGGUUGAGGUUCUCUCAAAUCCAUCACUGGGUUGUUUCGUGACUCAUUGUGGGUGGAAUUCAACCUUGGAGAGCUUGGCUUCUGGGGUGCCAGUUGUGGCAUUUCCUCAGUGGACCGACCAAUCCACGAAUGCAAAGCUAGCCGAAGACGUGUGGAAAACGGGUGUACGGGUGACCGUGAACCAAGAAGGAAUAGUUGAAAGCGAUGAGAUUAAGAGGUGCUUGGAAUUGGUCAUGGGAGAUGGAGAGGAGGCGAAAGAAAUGAGAAGGAAUGCAAAGAAAUGGAAGGGUUUGGCAAGGGAGGCUGUGAUGGAAGGUGGAUCAUCUGACAAGAAUCUUAAGAAUUUUAUGGAUGAGGUCAUACAAGGUUACUAGCUAGAUAUUGUGGUUGUAUCUCUUGGAGUUUAUGUUAAGACUCCCCGAUUAAUUUAAAUAUUUUACAAGAAGAUUUUUAUUAUUUAUGAUGUUAAUACAAGUAGUAGUAUUAAUUAAUGGUAGAGGGCAUAUCUAAAAUUAUGGGAGAUUCAUUGCUUCCUGAAGGCCCUAUCACAAAGGAUCUGUCAAAUGCGUGGCUAAGGUGCUGUUUGGUAAAUGUCCGUUACCAGCCAAAAUUUUGCAAUUAUUGCUAAUGGGAAUCAGGGAAACCCCAAACUGGCCUUGAUGGUCCUUGCGUGAAGACCCAUCCAAUUCUUUACAUUGUGGCCACUGAUUUGGUGUCUUAUCCUCUCAUGCCCAUCACUUCAUGUUUACAAAUUGAUAUUGUAUUCAUAGCUAUUUUUUAUGAAGGUUCAAUUGGCAAGAAGUAUUUUUGCCUUGGGAAGAUGUUGGUUAUGGAUUUAAAGCAAAAUAAAAGAUUAAAAAAAUGAUCCUUGUACAAAUUUUUGGGUGCCUCUAUUAAUUAAGUGAAUAUUAUUAUUUAAUUGAUAAAUUAAUAAUUUAUUAAUUUAAUUACUUAUUAAUUAGAUCUCUGGAAUAAUUCUAUUAUGGAACCUAUCUUGCACUAAGAAGCAUCCAUAGCGAUAAUAAUAUUAAAUAAAUUUUUGUUAUAGUACAAGAAUGUUACAUCAGACCUUUUUUUUUUUUUUUUUCAUAUUAGGAAUAGUUAAAGAUGAGAUUUAAGUAAACAUAAGUUUUAAGAAAAAAUAACACAUAUAUUUUACGAAGGAUUCUUGAUAAAACAUAUGAAUUUAAUUAUAUAUUAGAAAAUUAUUAAUUUUUAUAAUAUGUGGAUUUUAUAUGAAACUACAUAGAUUUUUUUUAUAAUGUAUUAUUUUAUAAAUUUAUCAAAUUAUUAGUUUAGCACGAUGACCCCAAAUUUAGAUUAAUUAAAAAAAUAUUUAAUUGAAGUUCUUAAUUAAUUAAAUAUUAAUUUAUUAUAAAGUUUUAUUGUAUUUUAUUUUCAUGUUCUGAAAACUAGUCGAUUUGAUUGGUUUGAGCAUUGAUUGACUAUGUAUUUUACAUAUGAGAUCGAUUAUGAGUUGCACUUUCAUCCCAAGGUAUUUAAAAAUUAGGAAAAUCAAUCCCAAGGUAUCUAUUUUACUUUUCUUAGUCUAUUCACCAUUGUCCAAACACUCCAUAAGUGGAAUGUAACUUGGAGGGGCUUGAAUAUGCAGAAUUUUAUAAUUUUGCACAUUAAUGUCUCAGAGUGUUAAAAUCUUUUACAACUAAUUGUAGAUAAGUUUAGUAUUGACAAAUAAUUUUAUUACAAUUAAAUUAUUUUUUAAUUUAUAAAAAGGUUAAAAUAAAGAUAUUUAAGAAAUAUAGUACCUUAACAAUUAAAAAUAACAUUGGUUGAUGAUAUCUAAGAAAUUCAAUGUUUUCUUCAACCUAAAAUGAAUAUAAAAAUUUGGUAUGAGGAUUGUUUGCUCGACUAUUGAAACUUAUUGACAACAUAGGAAGAGACAAAACUUUUGGGGAUAUAUUAAUAGAGUGAGGAAUUUGGUACUUGAUUCAUAGAGUAAAAGUUGAACAAAAGCAUCAAGAAACAUCGGGGUUGGAAAUGAUAGUGCACUUUUUAAAAGUCAUAGGUGGAAAGAGGGAAAAUUAGAACAGAUGAACCUUAAUUUUUUGGUAUUUUUGAUAGGUGUUUAGUAAAAUAAUUUAAUAUUACAAUUUAUAGUUAAAAAUGACUUAGUAUAUAAGCAGUUAAAAUGAUUUAGGGCUUGUUUGACCGUGUUUUUUAAAAUUUUCUUUUAAAAUAGAGAAUAAAAAUAGUGAACAUCAAGUUGUUGGAUGGACCAAUUUCUACUCAAUGCCAAAGACAGAACCACACGAAUAGUAGUUAGUUUAACCACAAAACUAAAGGUUUCAAGGAAAUCAAAACCGUGAGUUUGAUGAAAUCCUUUCACCGCUAAAUGUGCCUUAUAACAAUCAAUAGUUCCAUUAGGUUUAAACUUCAAUUUAUAAACCCAGUAACAUCUAAUGGUAUUCUGAUUAGACCAAGGAAGAAUGAUGACCUAUGUUUUAUUUUUCAUAAGAGCUUCAAAUUCAAGAUGCAUAGCCUAUUGCCAUUUAGGAACUUUAGCAAUUUCCUUAAAGGAAUUCAGUUCACAAAGUGGGGGAAAAAUAGUCUUAGUAGGAGACAAAAAUAACUUGAGUUCGAAAAUGCCAUUUUUGGCACGCAUUAUCAUGAGAUGACAAGUAUAGUAUGAACAUAAGAGGAAAGAGGUUGGGUUGUUGGAAUAGGUAUAACCUUAGAAAAGGAAAUUGGCACACUAGAAUUAGAUAUUGGAACCAACUUUGAAGGUGGACAUAAUGGGGGAGGUAAGAGGGAAGAUAUUGGAGAUGAUGGUACUACCAAGGGAAUGACACAAUGAGAGAGGGAAACAUAAUAAGGAGUCUGAACUAUGGAAGACUUAGCAAAUGGGAAAUCUAGUUCAUAAAAAAUAACAUGUUGUGAUAUAUGUAUUUUAUGAUUGGACAUGUUUAAAUAAAGAUAUUCUUUAUGCUUAGAACUAUAGUUGAUAUUUUAACGGAUUGAUAUGCAAGUUUAUGACAAUUAAAAGGAUGUAGAAAAGGAUAACAAAUGCAACCAUAGACAUGAAGAUAAUAAUAAUUUGGUAGACAAUGGUAAAGAGUCUUAUACGGAUCAAGAAGAGAUAUUCAACAUAGAGGUAGGAAGUCUAUUAAUCAAAUAUAAGGUAGAUUGGAAAGCAAAAGGUCAAUAUUUAAGUGGAAUAGAAGCAUGAGCAAGCAAAGAAAGACAUAUUUCAACCACAUGUCUAUGUUUUCUCUCCACAUGACCGUUUUGUUGAAAAGUAGAUGGACAAGAUACUCUAUGCAGAAUCCUAAAUUUACAUAAAGUAUCAAUAAAGGCUUGAAACUCCCCUCCCUAAUUAGUUUGAAGCACUCUAACUUUAGUGUAAAAUUGAGUCUCAAUUAUCACUUUAAAUUGCAAAAAAGCAGAGAUAGCUUGAUUUUUAGAAGCUAGUAGAUACAACCCCAAGAAAAUCUUGUAUGGUCAAUAAGAAAAAAGUACAAAGUAUCUUGCUCCAUUAGCACCAACAAUAGCGGUAGGACCCCAUAGAUCAAAAUGUAUAAGAGCAAAAGGCUAAGAGACUCUAGAUUUAGACAAAGUAAAAGGUAAGUGAUGACUCUUUGCCAUUUGACAAGGUUCACAAAUACCUAUCCAAUGUUUUGAGGGCAUACUAUAAGCACUCAAAACUUUAUUGACUAUUUUACGUGCAAGAUGACCUAAUUAAAAUGCCAUAGAACUACCUUAUUGGGAAGUUGUAAUGCAAAUAACAUACACAGGACCUCAAUUGCCAAGCUUGUUCUUCUAACAAUUUUAUUACAAUUGGAAUCUAUAUUUUUUACCAGAAGCUGAAGAUGACAAUUUGUAUAAACCAUGGUUAAGGUUGCCUUGGAGAAGAGCCUUCUUUGAAGCUUGAUCCUUCAUCACAAAUCCAUUAGUAAAGAAUUCCACAGUAACAUUAUUGUCAGUACACAACUUAUUCACACUUAUCAGAUUGGUUGUAAGUUGUGGAACAUGUAAAAUAUUCUUUAGAUUUAAAGACUGAGAAACCGACAAAAUAGUAGAGUAUCCAAUAUUUGAGAUAUUUAAGCAAUUACCGUUUCCAAUGACGACUUUGUCCAAACUAGCAAAUGGAGUAUGUGCAUUCAAGUUGUUGAAAUUUAGAGUUAGGUGAUAUGUAGCUCUAGUAUCCAUGUACCAACUUCCAUCUCCAAUAGUGGCCAGAGUUGCAAUCAUUGCAGCAAGAUGAGGUUACUCAAUUCUUAGGGUUCUUCUUUCUCAUUGGUUUUUGACUCAGAUGAGUUAACUUAGUUCCUAGAGCUCUUCCUCAAUGACAAACAAUUCUGAUUAGAGUGUGGCAAUGAGUUCAAUGAGCAAGCUGGUGAUUGGUCAAGGCCUCACCAGUGAUGAGGAUGUUGGUGAUAGCAACAAUCUAGUUGGAGAAAUGAUUUUUUCCAACACCUUCAAACACCGUAAAAAUGAUCAUAUCAUCAUCAUGAUCUUAGAUAAGAGAAACUUAAAGUUUUUUUUUUUAUUUCAAUUUCAAAUUCAAAACAAAAUUGCAGAGCACUAGAUACAAAAAAAAGAAAAAAGAAAAUAAAAGAACAAAAAAUCACUAUAGAAACCUUAGAAAACACACUAGGAAGAAAAAUCAUAGACAAACUCACAGAAGAAUUUUAUGGCUUUAGGAGUCGGAGCCGGAGCUAGAGAAGAGUCUUAAUGGACAUUGAGGAGGGACAAGAAGAGGUGUUCAACUAUAAUUUAUAUAGGCUAUAUAUAUUGUAAAUGUUGGCUUUAAAAUGUAUCUGGUAGUGACCCAAUGGAAGUGGAGUCUAUAGGAACAUCUAUGGUAGCGAUCCAAAAAUUAUUGCAGUUAUAGGAGAAUAUAUAAUAGCACUUUCAACAGUAAUCGUGACUAUGUAUAUUUCCUGGAAAAUUUCCCACCAAUCCCAAUCUCAAUCCCUUUAGAUGCAUGUGGUUGGAAUAUGCAUGAGGCCAUAUAUUAUGCGGUUGGGAUAUGAAUGAGGCUAUAUAAUAUUUUUAGUUGUGGAUUUUCUUAGCCCCUACUAAAACUAUAUUGCCAUUUCCUAUUCUUCUUGUAAUGUCAAGUUGGAAAGUCAAACUUAAUUUAAAAACUUUUUAAAUAUUAAACUUAGAGUUAGAGUUAGGUGGUGUUUGUUUUUUUUUUUUGUUGAAAACAAUUUGUUUUCAGAAUUUAAGUCGUUUGUUUUUCUAUUUUUUCAUGACUUAUUAUAUACUUUUUACCAAACAGAAAAAACCAAAAUAUGUAGUUUUUUCUAAAUAGAAAAAAUAAUAUGUUCAUUUUUUUUACUUUUUAAUACUUAAUAGAAAUAAAAUACUACAAAAACAAACAACCUAAUAUUUAACAUUAUUAAGUAUUAAGGUUCUAUUUAGAAUUAAAUAAAAAAAAAUAAAUGCCACAUUAGUUUCUAAAUGUUAAGGAGAACAUUUUAUUUUGAAUGAUUAUUUAGUGUUUGUAUUUGAGUAGUUAAGUCGUCAAAGGUCUCUGUAUUUGAUUAUUAAGAGUUUCUAUUUGGAUAAAUGUGAGUAUAUUUAUAAACAAAAAUUCAUAUAUAUAAUAUAUAUAUAUAUAUUUUAAAAAAGCAAUAGAAUACAAUAAAUUUUUAAUUCUCUCCUAUUUUAUCUUUUUUAUAAGUGUGUGUUUCUCUUUCAUCUAGACAACUCACACAAUACUAACACAAUGAGAGUAAAAGGAGAAGGGCAACAAAGAGUUGGAGCCGGAGAUCAUUGGAGGAACGGGUCAACUGUAGGCCGGUUGUCCAUGGGCUCAUAUAAGUAACAAAAAUUGGAAAUGGUUUCUAUAUCUUAGUGUCGUCUAGAAGACGACAAUCUACCUGUCAGUGUGCAGCAGAAGAGAAAGCGUGAUAUCUACUUCGAGUCAAAACAAAAGGGAACCAGCUCGCAAUUCCUCCGAUACAUCAUUACCGACGUCAUAGCUCUAUUCCCCCAAUUCGUCACUACCAACUUCAUUCUAUCUCCAUUACGCAUUAUUUAAAGAGUCCCCAUGCAGAUGCUGUUCGAAACACAAGUCAGCUUUGACACAACCCCACGUCAUUGUGAUAACCCAUCCGGCACAGGUCCCUGUCCAAAGACCCAUCUUACUCUUUACAUUGUGGCCACUGAUUUAGUAUCUAAUCUCAGGCAAAAUUCACUGGUUUGAUGAAGGUUAUAGAACAAAACUUGUGUUAUUCUUAUCUUUGUUUUUGAUGAACUUUAAAGCAUUUAAAAAGAUUCAACUGGUAAGAAGUAUUUUUGCCUUGGGAAGAUGUUGGUUAUGGAUUAAAAGCAAAAAAGACCCUUGUACAUAUUUUUGGGUACCUGUCAAGCAAAUUAAUGCACAUCCGAACAUCACAACUGUUGUCUCUUAAAUUCUUCCAAUUGACCUGCUUUCGUCUUAUUGAGCGUCUGGGUUACUUGAUAAUGCAAAAACUCAUACAGUUAUUUCGAUAAAUUAAGAGCCUCAGGCAUCAAGGAAAAUCUAUUAUUACUUAAUCGAUAAAUUAAUAAUUUAUUAAUUUAAUUGCUUAUUAAUGAGAUCUCUUGAAUAAUUCUAUUAUGGAACAAGACACCAUAACAAUAUUAAAUAAAUUUUUGUCACAGUGUAAGAAUGCCGCAAUAGAUGUAAUAUGAGAAUGUGAUAUUUAAUUAUGGGCCUCCGCUUAAAAUAAGUAAAUAAAUAAUUAAUAAUUAAAAUUUAAAUAAAAUAAAUAAUUAAUUAAUAAUUAAAAUACAAAUACUAGACUCACAUUCUGAGCAGCCGCUUCUAAACUCUUAUACGCUACAAAAAAACAUACACAAAGAAAUCUAGGAUUCUAGAUUUAAGUGAAGAGAAAGAGGAUUUGAUCUUUUUGUUCUUUCUCGAAAAUUUCAUGGUAAGUGAUACUUCUUAAAGAUUUUUUUUUUCAGUUUUUCUUCUUAGAAACUUUAAUUUCCUAAUAAGAUUCAGAAAUAAUUAAUAAAAACAAGAAAUUAAGAAAUACAUUGAAAGUAAUUAAAUCUAAUAUGAUAGAAACCUAAUAAUAAUAAUAAAAAUAAUAGAAAGUUUGAUGUAUUAUUUCUGAUACCUAAAGGAAAAUUCUAUAUGAAAUUGUGGAGUUAAUGUUUUUUUUUUUAAAUAUAUAAUAAUAACAAAAAACAAUAGAAAGUUUGAUGUGUUAUUGCGUAAACCUAGAAGAAAAUUCUAUAUGAAAUAGUGGAGUUAAUGUUUUUAAAAUAUAUAUAUAUAUAUAUACUAGAAAUUCUUAUGUGUAGGAGAUAAGAAUUCUAUUGGAGGCCUCCAAUUUUAUUAUGUUAGGAUUCCAUAAUGAAUUAAAUUAAAUUAAAUUAAUAUAAUUUAGAUUAGAUUAAUUAUAACUGUGGGAAUUGAAAAGCUUAGGAUGACAAUUAAGAAAUGGAAAUAUGAUAUUUUUUCUAGAUAAAUGAAUAAUUUAUAUAUAUGUUAAAAAACUAUAUAUAUUUAGAAUAUAAUUAUUAUUAGAACAUUAGUUUAAAGAACCCUUAUAAUUUCUCAGGUAAUUCAAAGGAAAUUCUACCGCUUUAAUAUUUGGAGUUUAAGUCCAAUUAAGGGGACAAAUUAAAAAAUAUUUAAGUAUAAUUUUCUUUUGAAAGUUUCAAGAAAUUGGGAAAUAAUUUUGUUAUAAGGUAUAUGUUUGCUUAGAUGUGUGAUAUGAAUUUUUUUUUGUUUAAAAGAAAAAAAAAAUAGGACUAGUAAUCUAAUCCCUGUUAAUAAAGGAAAGUGUUUUGACUUUGGGUCAUAUAAAGUAACUAAAUUGGAAAAUGGUCUCUAGAUCUUAACUUUGGGUCGCGACUAGAAGACGACAAACUACCGGUCAGUGUACAGCAGAAGAUAAAGUGAGACAGGAUACUUAUACAUCUCUUGAAAUUAAUUUGUCUUUGGUCAAAACAAAGAGGAAGCAGCUCACAAUUCCUCCAAAACAUCAUUGCAAACGUCAUAGCUCUGUUUCCCCAAAUUCGUCAUUCCAUACUCUGCCUUCCUUAUUUAAAGAGUUCCAUGCAGAUGCAGAUGCAGUUCGAAACACAAGUCAGAUUUGAUCAUCCUCUGCAUAGACCCAACCGAAGUAUCUCCACUUCAUCUUCUUCCCCUACAAUGACACAACCCCAUUUCAUUGUGAUAACCUAUCCGGCACAAGGCCACAUCAACCCUUCUCUCCAACUGGCUAAGCGCCUCAUACGUGCUGGUGCCCAUGUCACAUUCGUCACUAGCACCUAUGCCGGUGAGCGCAUGGCCAAAACCCCAACCAUGGAUGGGUUAAAAUUUGUCACAUUCCCGGAUGGCUGCGACAGUGGCCUCAAGCAAAGCGAUGCCCUCCAAGGCUUCAUGUCUGAGCUUGAGCGUCUUGGCUCCCAAGCUCUUAUCGGCCUCCUCAUAGCCAGCGCUAAUGAAGGUCGUCCCGUUACUUGCAUAAUCUACGGCAUCCUGAUUCCUUGGGUAGCAGAGGUGGCGCGUAGUCUUCACAUCCCCUCCGCACUUUUUUGGAGUCAACCUGUCUCUGUUUUUAAUAUCUAUUAUUAUUAUUUUUGUGGCUAUGGAGAGCUCAUUCGCAAGAAAGUCAGUGACUCCUCGCCUUCCAUUGAAUUACCAGGACUGCCCUUGCUCAGUAGCCGUGACAUUCCCUGUUUCCUACUCCCCUCAAAUGCAAAUGAAUACAACUUCGUCCUUUCAGCGUUUCAGAAGCAC
rnacentral:lncRNA from 1 species